rnacentral:lncRNA from 1 species
UUGGUUAUAGUAUAUCAUUUUAUUUUGCUUGUGCCAUCUAUUUGUUGUUGACCCAAAUUCUAUUAGACAUGAUUAAGGCCAUAUUUUUUAAAUUCUGAUAUAUUUCAAAACUUGUGGGGGGUACUCUUUUAUCAGUUUGAUAAAUUUUGAUAUUAUAAUUACUCUCGUAAUUUUAUCCUAGUGUUCAUCUUGGAAACGAAUUUUGCAAAUUCUAAGAUUGGCAGGUAAAUUAUUUUGAGACAUAAAUUUAUUAGAUGGCUAACCUUUUAUAAUAUUAUUUUUUAAGUUUUUUCAGAUCUGAUCAGAAUCUUGCAGAUUGCUUGACGAAAGGCCUGAAUAGGACUAAGGUCCUAGAGUCAUCGAGGGGGAUGGGACUUUGCCCGUAAAGGGCCUUCCUGCAGUGGGAACCCAACCUUUGUGAUAGGAGAUCCCUUGAAGAAGGUUCAAUGUGGUAAAAACAAGCUGUCAGGUUGGCCAAGAGCACUUUCUACAAAUUUUAUAAAGGAGCUUUAGCUCCAAUUCCAUCCCUAUGGUGAGUAGUGCUCUGUGUAGUGGAUUAGGUUGAGCUGAGAGCUCUUAAUGGGAUCCAAGGCGAUAAUUUUCGCGAGAUGUGACUCUACACACAUCCCUGGAGGAAACCACCUAUAUAAGAGUAUCCGUAUGUGGCCGCGGCUAUGUGAAUGGGCUAUACAUAGAAACUCUUAUGAAAAAUCAAGGUACUGUGCAUGGCCAUUAACGCACAGACCCGCGACGGAGAAUUCUAUACUGUGUGUGUGAUAGUUGAAGUCAGGGACAAAGGAACGUAGUUCAAGACCUGGUUCACUCCGAUUCCUUCUGAUGGAAACUAUUUACACUAAGUGAGGUUAAGUCCUUAAAGACACCUUACCUAUUGCAUAGUAUAAACACCCGGUGAUUUAUUUAUUUAUUAGUUUUGUUUUCGAGUUUAAUUCCUAUUUCGAAAUUUUGAAUUUUGUGGGGGAUUGUUGGAGAAAAUUCAAAAUCUCUAAAUUUCAUAUUUUAAAAUAUUAAUUUAAUUUAUUUUUAUUAUUAUUAUUUUUUAAGCGAACGUCCGCACGCACUGUGCACGCGCGGACGUUACGCAUGCUCGCGCUAUUUGUCCGCAUGGAAUCCAUGCGGACAUUCAUGUGGGUGCUAAUUAAAAGGGCUAAUUAAGAAAAUGUUAACGUUGGGAAUACCAACGUUAAGUUUUCUCAUUCCCCUGUAUAUAUAUUUAUAUACACUUGUUCUACUGUUCAUAGAUAUAUGAACACCGUGGAAAAACAACAAGUGAAAAGAGGGUUUUAAUUUAAGUUUUUUUAUCAAUUGUUUAUUUACUUGAUUUCUUUAUCAUCGGGUGUUGAAAGAGUCUCCGUCAACCUCCUUCACGAUCGUGCUCGCAGGAGGAGGAAUUCCGGUCGUACCUUGGGGUGUUAUUUCCGGUUAAUCCCGCACGUAAGGACGGAAAUACGCCUUAGGGCAGUGCCUCGCACACUUCCGGAUCAAUUAAAUUUUUAUUUGGACUUAGCGAUUAUCGGUAAGUUGAUUUUAUUAAUUUUAUCAUAAGAUUUUGUUAGAUUUAAAUCACAAUCAGAUUUCUGUGCGGUAUUUGUUCCAACACGAAACACAUACCAUGCUAUAUUUCUCUAGAAAAGAAAAAGGAAAAUUUCCAUAUGCAUAUUUCACUUUGUACCAAACAAUUCAAUGAACUUUAGAUUCUAUAAUGCUAAUAUAUUUUCACUGAAGAUCAACACUAUUUGUAUGCCCAAAAAUAAGAAUCAAGAGCUAACUGAGAGACAAAGGAUAGCAGCAACAAAGAAAAGUAGACAGAGAAUUCAGGAUUGACAUAGUUUUUGUGAAUAUUGAAUGCACUCUCACGAGAGUCUUGCCAUCAAAGUUGAACGUCAAUAAACCACAAUAGAAGUAAUUGCUAAACGCGAUUCAGAAUAUUUUUAUUAUUCUCCUGAGGCGACAAGUCCACAUUUAUUAUUUAAUUUUAAGAGAAAAAUACUAAGCCUAUUAUAGAGAUAUUCAAAAGGUUGUGAAAGUUCAAUUGCUUAAUACUUAAGAUGCACCAACAAAAGCGGGAAAAAAAACAAAAAAAAAUACAGCACACAUUACUUGCACAGUUGGUUGUACUUCCGUUGCUAAUAAAUAUUCGAACAGUAAUAAAGCGGGCAAAGCGAAGAGGUUUUCAUCUAACAACGCGGCUUUAAACCCACUCCCGCGACUUGUCCCAAGUCAACUGCUCCCCACUCCCAUUAUUUAAUACACAUCCCCAAUUUUGGUUGCGCCUCGCGACUUUUCUCCCGUAACGACCGGUCACUUUACCACUGUACUACCCAGCGUGUGGGACAGCGCGAGAAAAGCUCCAUUAUGUAUGCAAUUAACGCUAUUAUUAUUGUUGUAGCUACAAAGAUGAGGGGAGUGCGGAAUGGUCAUUGAAAGCGUAUACUUACCUGGGUGUGAUCGCGUCCGCUGUAAUUGAUUCGAUAUUAUCUCAGAGGGCGGAAAGUAGUGGAGUGGUGCCUGAAAGUACCAGGAGAGAGAGAGAGAGAGAGAGAGAGAGAGAGAGAAGAGAGGGCAACGAAGAAGCUGCAAAAAGGCCAUUACGCGGACUUGAAUCCGGCGCUCUGAAAUCCAGUUUAAUCCGAUCCUUCGAGAUCCGCUUCUUUCAUUCACCCACCCACCUCCGCAGAGGGCGCCCAAAAAGUGGUGGUGGUGGUGGUACUUAGCACUCGAUCGCCGUUGUACGGAGCGAGGGCGGAAUCGCUUUUGUGGAUGGCCGUUGAGGAGGAGGGGAAGGGGUGGGGGCUGUGUCGGAUUCCCUUCUGGGGCGGAGGCGGAGGCGGAGGAGCAGGGGGGAGGAGGGGAGGAGGGGGCUCCUCGUCGUCGUCGAACGCGUCGUCGGCGAGCUUGACGCACCACCGCCGGGGGCCGGUGGAGGGCGGCGGUGGCGUCGUCGUCGCCGACGCGGAGGCGCGCCGACCCGGCGGGGGGAGCUCCGUUGUGUCGGUGGCGCGGUCGCUGAUCCCCGCGAGGCGUCGCCUACGGCUCGAUCCCCCCGCCAAACUCUACUUCCCAUGUAAGGGCUCGAUUCCCUCCUCUCCUUCUUCUUCCUUUUCUUCUAAUCCUCUUUCAAUUUGUGGGUGUGUCGGGUUCCUCAUCAUCAUCUCAAUUGGGGUUUCAAUUUGUGGGUGUGUUGGGCUCCUCCUCAUCAACUCAACUGGGGUGGAAAAGGGGAUCUUUUUUUGGGAUCUUCGAUUUGGUGGUUUGAUGAUCCGGAUGUGUUGAAUUAUGCCAUCUUCUUACGUAACUGAAGCUCCUAUUUAAUUUGAGGCGUGAUUUUAGUUUCCUUUGAAGAGGGAAUCCUUCUUUCUUCGACUGAUUUGUCUUUUAUGGAGGAUUGAUAUUUCUGAAUUUGGAAGUUUGGGAUCUAUUUAUGUUUUAUUAAUUUGUAGUGCUGUGCUCUCUCUUUUCCACGUCUUUCUUAGUAAAGUAACGAGGUACGUCACUGAAAACGUUGUUAUGAUCAUGAUUUUAUGAAUUUGAUGUGAAUUUGCUCCUAUUUAUGAUACUUAUUUCCAUAGUUAACUGAAAUUAGUUGAUAUGGACUUCUUUUGGUUAAGGAGAGCCAGUUCCUUUUGUGAUUCUUGAUAAGUUCUCUUCUUGUGCUUAGUCCCUUGCUAAAGUUGUAAUUUUGCAUCACUUCACCUGCGAACAGAAGCUGUAAGCAACUUCGCAUAGUAGGUGUUAUCUAUUUACUGAUUUAGAUAACUAAUCUGGGCCAGUCCAAACCAAAAUCUUACUUUUCCCUUCCACUCUUAAAAGUUUUUUUUUUGUUGUUGUUGUUGUUGUUGUUGUUGUUGUUGUUGUCUAUUUAUGUGAAUCCUUUCUACAAAUGAUCGAAAUGCUUGUAGUUCUGCAGGUGUGUUAGAAGCGGCAAUCAUUUAGUGGCUAUAAUCCGAUGAAUUACUGCUAACUUGAUGGGUGCCAUGUUUUUGUUAUACUGUUUUUAUAAGGAGAGAGAUUAUGUCCAUUUGAACUUUAUUAUUUCAGUAGCAUUAAUCCUCUUAUGGGUUUAUGUUGGGUUUAUGUUGAUUUCAGAGUUAGAGAAGUAUUGGGUCGCCUUGGGUUUAUGUUGAUUUCUGUUCAUUUUCUUGGUUGCUGUUAUUAGCAACUUCUUGCAAAUAGUUGCAAUAACUGCUUCUCUUAUUAAUUAAUUUUAUUUAUGGGUUUCACCUUGUGCUAUUUUGCUUGUAAUCAUUUUUCAAGAUUAACCUGGUGUUAGUUCUCAAUCUUAUUUGCUUCCUUUUGUUUUAAUUUCAUGGUGAAGAUGAACCUGGCAAACAGGUCAGAAGUGCUGUGAGGAUAAAGAAUACUAGCAAGUCCUAUGUUGCAUUCAAGGUGACUAUAUAAAUACUAUUUAAUAACUCUUAUCUGUUCAUUGAUUUCUGGAAGUUGAAGACUUUGGCAGUGGUGGCCGAUGUUGCUGAGUAAAUUUAGUAAAUUUCUCGGUUGCCGACGAUCAAAUUCAUAUUACAACAAGCUGCUUUGACUUACUGCUUGUUUUCUGGCAAUUUACUAGCUAUUUCUGAAAGCUGAUUACUUUAUUGUUGUUAUUUCUCCUUUAACCUAUAAGCCUUACUGAAAAAUGACUUGCGGUGCAAUUUUUAGUUCCAAACAACUGCACCAAAGAGCUGUUUUAUGCGUCCUCCUGGUGGUGUACUCUCUCCUGGCGAGAGUAUUGUUGCAACUGGUACAGUAUUUUCUGUCAUUGUUUAUUCUUUGUGGAGAAUCUGUGGAAAGAGAAUUUAGAUUAUUAUUUGAUUUGUAGUCUUUUGGACAAUAAAUCAUGACUCACUUAUUCCUUUUAAUGCAGUUUUCAAAUUUGUGGAGCAUCCGGAGAACAAUGAGAAGCCAAUGGAUCAGAAGUGUAAGGUUAAGUUUAAGAUUAUUAGCCUGAAAGUGAAAGGACCUAUGGAGUAUGUACCAGAGUUGGUGAGCCCUCUUUUUGUUGCUAAUUUAAACUAUUUGAAGUUAUGGUUCAUUGUAAUCUGUUAGAUACUGGUUGUUUAGCUAUUUGUUUUUGCACGCUAGUGGGGACUCUUGUUGCUAAUUAAAACUCUUUGAAGUUAUGGGUCGUUGUAAUCUGUUAGAUACUGGUUCUUUUAGCAAUUUGUUUUUACAUGUUAGUGGCAUAUCGCCUGUGGGUAAUCAAUUAGUUUAUAGGAUUGGUUAAUUUUGAAUUGAUAUAGCUUAACAGGUUAUUUUCCGUGUACAUACAUUUGACAUUGUUACUCUUUAACUUCAUGCUGACUUUAACCUGUUGUGCCAGUAACAGAAAUAUUAUUUGUAGUUAGGAUAUGCUACAUUUUGAUCCUUUACUCGUCGGCAUGUUUAUUUGAAAUGUUUGAAGCUUUGACUGGUGGAUAGAUGAUAUGGAUACACUUUGAUGCAUAGCGUGAAAAUGCCUGCCUAUAUUGGGUUAUAAAACUCAGCCUUAUUUAUGAAUAGCAGUUCCUGCCUUGUAUAAAAUCGUUUCAGCCGUAUUAUAAACCAUUUGAUUUGGCAUUUCAUGCACACUCUUAUGUUGAUUCGUGCCAAUUAUGUAUCUCUACUACAGUUUGAUGAGCAGAAAGAUCAAGUUGCUGUUGAGCAAAUUCUGCGAGUUGUAUUCUUGGAUGUGGAUCGUCCAAGUCCUGUAAGUCAUAAUUACUCAGCAUUUAUUUCUUUUUCAAUAGCCAUAUUUGAUCUGGAUUGUCUGUUGGCUAGUGCAAAUCCAUCUGAGUAACAAAAUUGUCAUGUAAUGGAGCUUCAAUUUGGUUUAGUGAAAACAGAAAAUCACAUGGCAUGCAUAUCCAGAUAUAUAUUUGUUGGGAUAAAUAUAUUUUCAUAUCCUUCUUGGUCUUUCAAACGCUCUUUAGGAACUUUAUUUUCCUUUUGUAACAUGCAAUAGUAGAAAGAUUUAGUUAUCUUGGAUUUUGUCUUAGAAACCUAUAUUAAUUUACCCUAUAUAUUGCUAAGGUUGAACAUUUACAUAAUUUUGUGAUCAGUUACAAGUUUCUAGUUGUAUUACUUGGAACUUUACUUGUCAUAUGAGGAUAUUCUGCAUUAGCAGGAUCCAUCCGCAUUUUUCUUUUUCUAGUUCAGUAUCCAAUUCGAAUUAAGCAUUUUUUAUUCCAAAAUAAUUCAAAAAUAAAGUAGAUUUGUUAUGGAUCUCAUAGUAAGACUUAUGAAGAUCUUUUCCUGGCAGCUUAAAUGACCUUGAAACUCUAGUAUAUUACUUAGCCUAUGAAAUCAACGCGGCUAGGUUAAAAUAUACAACACUGACCUUAUGUCGUGAUUGUGUGGUUGAAGCAAAUGGAUAAACUAAAGCGCCAACUUGCUGAGGCGGACGCAGCCCUAGAGGCACGCAAGAAACCUCCAGAAGACACUGGUUCUCGAAUUGUUGGUGAAGGUCUUGUAAUUGAUGAAUGGGUAAACUCGAUACUUCUUUAGACACUUAUUUAUACUCCUUUUCAUGUUUAACCCCUCCGCACUAAUAUACUUUCCCCCCUCUCUCCUCAAUUCAUUCUCAGAAAGAACGAAGGGAAAGAUAUCUUGCCAGGCAGCAGGUUGAAGGGGUUGUUGAUUCAGUGUAGAGUGCAGUCUGCUUUUGUUGUAAACUUUGUAUCCUCUGUGUGCGGAGUAAGAUGAGUUAGUCAUGCAAAAUGGUGGAAAAGGAAAAGAAGAAAACGAAAUAUUUGCCGCCCUUCCAUCUUUAUUUCAGGCUGGUUAGGUUGUUUCUUUUAAGGUUCGGUUUGGCAACAAUAAUGGGAAUAUUCUACUGUCAUGAGCUGUUGAGAUUUGUUUCACUUGAUUUACACGAAUGUUCAUGUAGAUAAUGGAUUUUUGCAUAUUUCCAAUAAACAUAGAAAUGUUGUUAAAUUUCUGGAACCACGUGCGCUGUUAUAAUUUAUGUUUGUCACACCAAAACAAAUGUUUGCUUAGGUUCUAUUUUUGAGUAGGGGUGGAACUGGGCCGGGCUUGGGUCGGGUAUUACUAUGCCCAAGCCCGGCCCAAAAAAAAAUGUUGGGCUUCGGGUCGGGCUUUUACCUAAUUUUUUAAAAAAAUUAAGGCCCGGCCCAAGCCCAAUGCCCAAUACCCAUCGGGUUUUGUGGAGGCCCAUUUUAUGCAUUUAUCAUAUAAUAUAUAAAUGCUUUUAUUUGUAUAAAAUUAAAAUAAAAUACCUAUUUUUAGUUUGAUCACAUCAAAUAAAUUAGUAUCUAAUAUUAAAUAUAUCCUAAUAAUAUGAACGAAAUAUUUUGUUAAUAUAUAAUAUAUCCUCAUAUAUAUAUAUAUAAGUAUAUACCAUUAAUAACACAUAUACUAUAUAUGAUAUAUUAUAUAAUUUAUUCUUUUUAUAAAUAAAUAUUAUAUAUAUAUAAUUAAAUAUUUUAUUUUAAUAAUUAAUAUAUCGGGCUUUUGGGCCAGGCUCGGGCCGGGCUUGGACAUGCCCAAAUAAGCCUAAAAUUUUUUCGGGCCUAAAUUUUGAAGCCCGGCCGGAACCCAAAGUUAAAUUUUUAAUACCCAAAGCCCGGCCCAAACAUGGCCCAUCGAGAUGGGCCUUGUUUAGGCCCGGGCCCAGUUCCACCCCUAGCCGCAAGGUCCGCGACCCGCGACCCGCGUGCGAGAGCUCGAGCUCGCGAGCUGUGAGGCCCACGAGGCCCGUGACCAGCGCCAGCGCGAGCGCGCUCAGGCUCGCGCUCGCGAGCCGUGAGGCCGCGUCUUUUUGGCGAAUAAUUCGGCUCGCGAAUUAUUCGCGAAUUCGUAUUUUUACCCAAAAAUACGCGUUUUUUUCCGAAUUUUUUGAAAAAAUACGAAUUCGUCCGUUUAAUUCGUUUUUUCAAAAAUUCGUGAAUAAUUCACGAAUUAACUAUAUAUAUAUUAAUUAUAAUAAUUUACUGUAAUAAUAAUACCUUUCCACCGUAUCGCACGGGCCGUUAACUAGUUAUUAUAACAUUAUUUAGAGAUUAAAAUAGUUAGAAACAGUUUCUGUCAAAAAAAAAGGAAAAAGAAAAAAGAAAAAAAAGAGAGAGUUAGAAACAGUUAAGUGAUUGGUAUUUAUUUAUUAUUUUUUUAAGAGAGAUAGGUAGCACACUAUCCGUUUCGUUUAUUUUAUUUAAAAAUAAACUUAGCUGGAAAUGUGAAUAAACUAGAAUUCGAACUUAGGUCUCGAAUACCAACCACCAAACCCUUUUGUCAUUUGCGCUAGGAACAGUCGGUGUGAUCGGUAUUUAUUGAAGCUGUUACUUGGUUGGCAAGUAAAGCAAAUAGGAAAACAUCAAAUUUCGCUUGUAGGGAGAGAUUUUCGCUUGUGGGGAGACAUUUUUCAUUUUUGUCAAUGUUUUUGUCACCCAAAAUUGUCAAAAUAAGCGAAUGAAAAAGCAAAUAGGAACGGCGGUGUGAUAAUCAUCAAGUCUUUUUGUCACCUGCGUUAGGGACGGUCGGUGUGAUUUGUAUUUAUUGAAGCUGUUGCUUGGUGGGCAAGUAAAGCAAAUAGGAAAACACCAAAUUUCGCUUGUGGGGAGAUACUUUUCAUUUUUGUCAAUGUUUUUGUCACCCAAAAUUUUCAAAAUAAGCGAAUGAAAACGUUGAUCGUUGACCAUUGACUGUAGUUCCAAGUGUCACUCUCCAAGUCUCAAAGCUCAGCACUACAAUAAAAGCGGUCUAUAGCGACAUUUUUAAAUGUAGGUACAUGUUAAAAAAGUGCUGCUAGCUAAAAUUACCGACAUUUUUAAAAAGUGUUGCUAUAUGUGGGGUCGCUAGGUAUAUAGUGACAGUUAAAGUGCGUCGCUAUAAUCUAAAAGAGUGUUGCUAAUUUACCAACACUUAUUUAAGCAUUUAGCAACCGCCGAAACUCUAUCUUGUUGACUGCGGUGGCGGAGGAGGACGACAGGAAAGGCUCUUCGUCUAGAAUUUCAGUGGAUUGAGUGAAGAGAGAAGAAAAGAUGUAAUUGAUUUUUCUUUUUUUUUUACUUUUCUGUUUACAAUCGGGUCUAAUGGACUGGGUGUGGUGGGUUGAGUAGAGUAAUCUUUUAUUUUUGGUUGGAUUGGGCUUUAUAUUUAGGCAUAAGUAGAUAUUUUUUUAAGUUUUAGCAUAAAUGGGACACUUACUCAAAAGUGUCCCAAACAUGUGUCCCUAUAACCUAAUUCUGUUGUAGUGCAGGUAGCAUCCAACCAUGUAUGCUUUGAUAAAUCUAUUCGCAAAAGCGUUAAUAUGUUUAAUUUAUUACAAUUUUCUCAUUAGUUCUCUNAUUCUCUCUCUCUCUCUCUCUCUAUAUAUAUAUAUAUAUAUAUAUAUAUAUAUAUAUUCUGUAGAUUAUUUCUUAUUUAUUUUCUAGGUUCAUCGUGUAUUACAAUUAGUGAUGCAUCUGGUUCUUAUUUGAAGCUCGGAGGCUUUAACAUCAGUUCGUGGGAAGCGGAAAAAUCUCCUUCCAUGGAUUCUUACCUCACCAGAACUUUUGGGUAAAUAAAUACCUUUCGCUGUACAUUUUCUGACGAACAAAUAAAAAUUUUUUAGAGGUUACUAAUUAGAAUCUCGGGAUAUAAAUCAUCGGAUAGCACUGAAUAUUAUUUUAAAAUCUAUUAAUAAGAUACUUGCUCUAAAACUCCCAAAGAGAGUUAUCCUAUCGUUUAGAGCUGAGUAUAUGAGACUCGUCUCGCCAAAUUUCUGGUUUUUUGCAAAGUUGUGUGGAAAUUUAAGUUUUGAUAGUUUAUACUGCUACGUGCAGGUAUCUGGCACCCGAAUACAUGGAAAACGGAGCUGUGACGGAAAAGUGUGACGUUUAUGCAUACGGAGUGGUACUACUACAGUUGAUAACGGGCCGCAGAGCCAUGGACCGAGCCCGGCCCAAAGGCCAACAGCUGCUUGUCGAAUGGGCCCGGCCCCUCCUGUUUUUGGCGUCCGGGGAGGUCCGGACGGCCGCCGUCGACCGGUUCCUAGACUCGCGACUCGACAAGAACCGAAUCCGGUUCAUGUCGCGGCAGCUCACGGCCAUGGCCCACGCCGCUUCGCUAUGCCUGAGGCGUGAUCCCGACACUAGACCCACUAUGUCCAAGGUGAUGCACUACUCCCUCCUCGUCUAACGAGACUAGUCACGCGUUUGGAUUGGCGGUAGUGUUAGAAUUCGACUGUUAGUGAAAGUUGAAAUAUUAGUUAUACUCUGUUUAGUAAUGCGUUACGUUUAAAAGUAAUCCCUCUGUCUCAACUUUUUUUCGUUCAAUUAUUUAAGCAGAUACUGCGAGUGCUGGAGGGAUCGGAUGGUGUGGUCGAACCCAAGCUAGGGUUUGGUUUCGAGUCGGAGUCCGUCCGUAGCCAAAGUAGCCGCAUGAGCCAUCGAGUCAACAUGUUGCUGCACCGUGACAACAUGCUACGUUUUGGUGGGAGCUUCUCUAAUCGGAUUCCUGAUGAAGCUGUUCUUAAUGCUAUUUAUGCUGAGAGAAAUUGGUCCUACUUUCAUUGAUAAUUAAAUUUUAAAAAAAAUAGAAUUUUCCUUUCUUUCAUUCAAAUUCCUUGUCCAAAAUGUUCUUGUGUUGAGCUUCUUUGAGUAGCAUAUACGCAUAUUGGUUAAUACGUGCAAAACUUAACAGAAUUAUGAACUAUUUUGAGUUAGCUAUGUAAUCUUUCACAAUUUUGAUUUUCACUUUUUAAUCUUUCAAUUUGUUUGAUUUGAGUCAUUUGAUAGUAUUUUGACUUUAAAAUUUAAAUUAAUUAUUUAUUUCGAUGAAUUUAUAGUUGCGGCAAUUGCAUCAAGUGCACUAACUAAAUCCGUAAAAAUAAAUGACGCUUUCAAAUUUUAAAGUUAAAGUAUUGUUAAUUGAUUCAAAUCAAACAAAUUGAAAUGUUAAGUAGUAAAAUUAAAAUUUCAAAAAUUUGAAUAGCUAAUUCAAAAUAGUUCAUAGUCCAAAUAAGUUUCGUACAUUUUUACCUAAAAUAUAAUAUGUUAACUUUAUAUUGUGCGCCGACACUGUUUUGCACUGCACUACACCAACCGUCCCUAGAGAAAGUGGCAAGAGGUUUGGUGGUUGGUAUCCGAGACCCAAGUUCGAAUCCUAAUUUAUUCACAUUUCCAGCUAAGUUUAUUUUAAAUGAAAUAAACAAAGCGGGUAGCGUGCUACCUAUCUCUCAAAUAUAUAUAUAUAUAUAUAUAUAUAUAUAUAUAUAUAUAUAUAUAUAUAUAUAUAUAUAUAUUUUUCCGGUUAGGUUUAUCGAAAACUAAUAUUUUUGUUUUCCAAUUUUAUUUUUUAAAAAAUAAAAACACUAGUUUAUCAUAAAAUACGAAAAAAAGAGAUUUCAAAACCAAUUUUUCCUAGAGCCAACAGGGGAAAAAUUAGAAAAGGGAUUUUUCAAGAAAUUUUUUUUUCUCUAAAAAAUCUUUUCCAAACUUUACCGGAAGAAUCAAACAAGCAGGUAAGGUUUUUGGGAGACAAAUAAUGAUUCAAUAGCAUCAUUUUGAAAUACCCAUACUACUACUGCUCUGUUUUAUUUUACAAAAAAAAAGAAAAAAGAAAAAAAGAAGAUCACUCUCAGCUUAAGAGUCAUUAAUAUAGGACAAAUAAAUUCAUAAGCACACCAUUUUCUCUCUCAUCAACAUUAGCAGUGAAGAGAGAAAUUCCCAUGAACUAUAAUUUACCUAUGCAUAUUGUUCAAAUUUAUUAGUUAUUUAUACACCACAAGUAACACACUCAACAAGCUGUUGCUGAUCCCUUUGCUUCUUGGUACAAUCCAUCAAUGCAUUCCUACAAUCAUUUUCCACCUUGUCAUGAAUCCAAUUCACUUAUAAAAAUGUUAGAUACCAUGCAACAUGACAACAAUUUCACUCUGCUAACCUUGUAGUAUUUGAGCAAUUGAGGCCUCUUCAACUUGAAGGUUGGGGUGAUCAAACCUCUCUCGAUGUCGAACGGCGCCGUCUCUAGAUAAACAGCUUUCAACAUCUCGAAUCCCUUCAGCUGCGACAUCGAAUCCGAUGUUAGUUCCUCGUUUCCUGCAGGAAAUGUGUGUGCAAUGUAUUGUACUACCUCGUGUUUGCGCCCGGUGGUAUUGAGCUCAUCUAAAAUGUGCUUUUUCGCCUUCGGGUGCUUGCAAAUCUCCUCAAAGUUACCAAUCACAUUGUUUGAUGCGGCCCAAUCUUCCAACGGCUUCCUCUCGGGGACGGCCACGCCGACGAGGAAGGACUCGAAACUGUUCCCAUACACCCAAACCUAAAUGCACCGCGCAAUCGACAUGUAGUUAGCCCGAGUAUCUAGAUAUUGAGUCUUGCUUUUUCGCUAAGACUAAUGUUGCUUUGCCCGUACCGAUGCGAUUAGAGGGCACUGCAUGUACGCGCUCUCGACAUGCUCGACCGCAACGUAUUCCCCUUGGGACAACUUGAAGAUGUUCUUCUUUCGGUCGAUGAUCUUCAUUGCGCCAUCCUGCUGCCAUUCUCCAAUAUCACCUGCAUACACCAAAGAUUAUAAGCAUUGUUCAUUGAGUGGAAACAGACACAUUUUUUUCGCGAAGAGGCAUAUUUGCAGAAGCAUACAUGCGAAAAACCUUAUGUUUCUCGAGAAAGGAAAGGAAUGAAACAGUUUUGUUUACCGGUGUGAAACCAGCCAUCGAUGAGUACUUCAUCCAUGAGGUCCGGUCGCUUGUGGUAGCCAGAGAACAAGGUAGUACCCCUCAGGCAAAUCUCUCCGCGCGGUAGCGCUUGCGACAGUGCAUUGUACCCCAUUUCCGGUACAGACUCGAGCCGAGCCUCAAUUGUAGAAGCAGGGACCCCGACCGUCCCUACCAUCGAGAAAACAUUGGCUAUCGACGUAAAGCACCCGGAACAGCUCUCAGUAAGACCUGCAUAUGUACCACAGCAUCAACACUUUUAACUCUACUUCAUGAUCAUUCCCGCAUAUGCCUUAAUUCGAUCGUUUUUUAUAUCGGCGACUAAGGGAAUUUUCUCUUAUGAUUGAAACUCAGGGGCUAACUUUCAGUCCAAUAUAAGGUGAGAUAUGCUGAGCAAGAUAUUCAUGCAUCUAAACAGGCCCUAAAGCAGUAGAAAGGUAAUUGUACUCAAAUUGUUCGACAAUGAGCACCGAAAGGAUUAUACCAUAUCCUUGUACUAAGACGCAGCAACCGACGACUCUCAGAAACUCUUCGACAUGCCGAGGUAGUGGCGCAGCUCCAGAUAUCAAAAGGCGGAUUCUGCCGCCUAGUCCUUGCUUGAUCUAUAUUUAUAGGAGGAUAACGAUGGCGAUAAGAAAAAGGAAAAGAAAAAUACUAUACAGGGAAGUACGUAAAACGGAGUAUAAUGCUAGUAGAACUACUUUGUGGAAGACCAGCUUGUCGAAAAAAGGCGAUGCUUCAUGCUGUUUCAUCCCUCUCUUCAAGUUUCUCAACUUUCUAGUGUAAACAAACCAAAAAGAAAAGAAUAUGCGCCGAAUAAAUCAAUGAUUACUAGUAAGGAUAAAUGAGAUGCUGCGCACAUAGCAACGAAUAUUGAGGAAUUGAAUCAGGCAAAAGUCGUGUUGUAUGGCUCACUGCUCAUAAGCAAUUUGAAACAGCAUCUUCGCUAACACGCCUCCGGUGGCGAUUUUAUGAUUGAUACCUUCAAUUCACAGAAAUUUCAUGAUUAUUAUUAAUACGAUUGGCAGAAGAAACUGAAAGAAAGAUAUCAAUCAGCGUAAGGACUAAACCUGCGUAUAUGCGGUCAUAAACACGCGGAACGCCACAGAAAAUUGUUGGUUUCAGCUCCUGAAUAUCAUCCAUCAAGUACCGAACAUCCUGUGUCAUGCCGUGGACACGGAAUUUGCAACUGAUUAAAUCUUGAUCAGCAAUCAAAGGUAUGAUUGAUCAGAUAUAUCGGCUAGAGCAAAAUGAAAAAUAGCUCAUACCCCGCGCCAGAAUCCUAUGGAGGCGCCCUUGUAGAUGCAGUAAUUCUCAAUUAUCUGAUCGAAUAUAUGGGCCAGCGGAAGGAACGAGAAGUACGAGUCUUCUUCGGUCACCUAUUUUGCAGGUAGAUAACAAGCCAUAGCAAUGAUAUGAAUAAUUCAACAAUACAUUCGAAAGGAACCUUCUUAAAUGCACGCAGAACUCAAAAUCAAUGUGAUACUAAAUGAAGAGAAUCGCGGAUAUGGGUGGCAGAGAAUUACCACUUUAUCUGUUUCCAGAAGAAGGUGUUCAGUAUUCAUGACCUGGGCUACGACAGCGCUGUUUGUUAUCAGAACACCCUUUGGAUCUCCUGUGGUUCCGCUCGUAUACAUUAUCGUGCAAAUGUCGUCCUUGUUCUUCGCAGGAAGUCGAGGAUUCGAGUUGUCCUGCGCACGAAUAGAGUGUCACUCGAAUCGAAGCGACGAAGUUCAAGAAAAUGUUCACUUGAGGAACUUCAGGCAAAAAUUGUCAGACCAUAGGAUGGAAGACUUACCGAUGAAAUGAACUCCUCCCAAGAGAAGCAAGAUGUUCCCCAUUGGCCGGCUUCCUCUUUUUGCGCACUCGUCACCCCUCCGAAACUAACAAUUGCUAAACACGGAAUAGAAACAUCAUUACUUCAAACAUUGCAAUGCAUAUAUAGGAAUUGACAAACAAAUUCGCUAUAUAUCCAGCAUACUCUUUAGAUGCGCACCGCACCUCGGAAGGCACGCCAAUAUCUGAAUAACACAAAAAGUAACAGGGCCAUAAGUAUUGUAUUUCUGUUCUUUUAUCCACAAAAAUAUACUGAAAUGUGCAAUAGUUGAACACAUCAAGAAAGAAAUAACCAGCUAUUAAACUUGUAUUAUCGCAGAACGAACUACCGACAGAAACUACAAUUGCUCAAUGUGUUAAGAAAAAAAAAAAAUCGAGCAAAGGCUAAGGACUUUUAACAUUACUUUCUUUUUACUUCUAUAAUAGAGCAAGAGUAUCACAGGAGAUCAAAAGAAAUGAAGCUUUUCUCCGCAUUAUAUUCAUAAAUUAAGUAGCAUGAGAAACACAGAUAAAAUCAUAAAAUUACACACCUUGUUCUGCUGCAGCACUUACAUAUACUUAUUGCUUAAAAGCUAAUCGUAGGCGUAACGUAUUGGAUAAAUUCAAAACCAAUAAGAAACUAUGUAAGAAGUGAUUGUAUCAUUGACAGAGAUUGUGAUGGAAAUUGAGAUGAAUGGAUUAGCUUACAGAUGGUAUCUUGAUUUCCUGGACAAAAGCUGUAGAGAUUUCCGCAUGGCCGAUGAUGAACUCGACUGCGUUAGCACCUGCAUUACAUUUAAUAGCGGUUUAAUUCAAUACAAUUACUAAUGAUUAUAGUGUGUGCUCAACUAAGCUCUAUGUCCAAGGCUAGUUAGGAAAAGAAAAAAGAAAUUAACUCCAUGAACAAUAUUUGGCAUCGGUAAAUUUCUAACAAUGGUAAGUCAAUGUCUCAUUAAUUGCUUACUUUUGCAUUAGUAUAAGAAUAACCAUCAAAAUGUCAAAAAAAAAAAGGAUUCAAAUUACAGCAAAAAAGGAAAAAUAAAAAAAAGGUUUCUCAUCUUGUAGAAAGAGUGAAAGCCACACACAUACCAAGGGUAUCAUACAAAGGAACAUAGACAAUUCCUUGGCUGGUACAAGCCUGUGGAAUAUACAGAACAAAACUAAAAUGUUAUUUUCUUAGGGAAAAACAAACAUUAUAUGGUACACAAAAUAACACAGUUAGUGUUUGUAGUGUCACAUGACAUGAUCUCCUUAGAAGUUUUAUAUUCACCUAGAAAAAUUGUUGGCAUGUAGGACUAAGAAAUAUUAAUCACAUUUCUCUCUCCUCCUACACCAACUAUAGAUUAUGUUGAUCAACCAGUAUAAUUAAUAGUCCCAUAUGCAAUAGGAAGAAUUAAUACUACACUGUGUAUUAUGUGCGAAGAUCUCUACCUAUCAGUAUAAUCUUUUGGAUCGAUUUGAGACCCCAACACCAUAUCAGAGUCAUUAUUUUUGAUAAGUUACUAUUGAUAGUAGAUAAAUAAUAUUUACUAUAUGUUUUCUAUUCAUUCGGUGCAUAAGAUUACUAUUUGGUGGUGGUAAUACUAUUAUAUAUCUAAUAGGUAAAAAGUUAAUAACAAAUUCUAUUCAUUUACUAUGAAUAAUAAACUAACUAUUAUGUAUUAUACAAAUAUAUAUAUUCUAACUUCUAGCCUUUUUUUAUUUUUCUUUUUAUAGAAGCUGAUAUUCACACAUCUAAUAUUUGACAAAGGCAUUGCUAAUAUUUUGUAAGGGACAAAAUAGUCAUUUUAGUAAGAAUUUCAUCAGUUUCUAUCAAAAUAAUUAUAAAAUUUAGAAAAAAAAAGAAAAAAAGAAAAGAUUCACCUCCAUUGCAAUCACCCACUCUGGACAAUUAGAACCAUAUAUUCCACAGCGAUCUCCCUUCAAAAAUUACACAUCUCAUUAAUUAUUGUUAUUUUUGUAUAAUAUUAUUCAACAAUUCAUUAAUUUGAAGCCUUAAUUAACACUCGAAAUGCUUAAUUUUGCUUACCGGGUUGAUGCCACAACUUCGCAUGCAGGAUCCAAUUUUCAUAACUUUAUGAUACACUUCCUCAUACGUUUGCCACACAUAAGUACCAACCUAAUACAUAACAUUAUUACAUGCUAAUUAGUAACCAUUGCACUUUAUUUUUAUUUUGAUUUUUUCUACAAUGAAAAGGAGGAAAAAAAAAAGGGGGUAACAUUAAAAAAAUUGCAUCAAUUUUUGCCUUACAUUUGUCUCUAACUCAAAUAAGUUCAAAGUUUGAGAUGAUUUUAAAUUUACAUAUGGUAUUAGCUAAAUCGUUAAGUAAAAUUUGUCGUUUGUUGACUCAUUUUAGUGAAGUAACUAAAUUCAACAAUUAUCCCAUAUUUUUGGACCUAUAAAACACGUACGCUACAAAAUGCGUAGUAAAAAAUGGUAUAAAUUUUAAUGUAAUGGAAUAAUUAAAAAACUGCCUAAAGUAUAGGAAGAAUCUUUAUAAUUCACCCUUUUUCUUUUUCUUUUUUUUUUCUCAACAUAUUAUAAACAAAGUUUUUAUGAGUAUCCACACAAAUAACAACUUUGAUCAUCCAAUUUAUAUAUUAACUAAAAUAAAAUAAUCUGAAUUGAACUAUAGUUAACAAUUUUUUUAAAAAAGCCACUGAUUUUAAUUACCUUGCCAUUAACAACUUGCCUGUGACCAAGCAUUUGGUUCUCUGGGUAUCUCUUAACUGCUCCACUGAUUCAUCAAAAGAAAUAAAAAAAAAAGGUUAAAAAAUCAGUAAAAAGUAACAAAAAUUGAUGAAACAUAUAAUUAAACCAAGCAAUUUAAAAUGCCACAACUAGCUAUGUGAUUUGAACACAACACAACCUAAAGAAAUCCCAUGGAGACUCAAUCCCUUUGGGCAUUUCUAGGAGACCAUUUUUCGCGUAAAUGCUCCGAUAAACCGGCCCGGCCGAGGGGCGGUUUCCGACCGCCGGCGUCGGCUCCUCCACCUUCACUGUGUACAUUGUCUCCAUGCAAAUAAUUUUCCUAUAAUUUCUUUUUAUCUCUUUUUUUUUCCUUUGUGAUUUUCUCUCCAAGUGGUGCUAUAGUGUGUUGCAAAGGAGAACAUGUUGAGUGAUGUGUUUUGGCAAAUUUAAGUGUUUUGGAGAGAGAGAGAGAGAGAGAGAGAGAGAGAGAGAGAGAGUUGGUGUGGGAAUGGAGGCAAAUUUAACAUGGUGGGGUUGAGUGGGUCAGGUUUUAUUUUAGUCCUUAAACUUUCAAGUUCGACUUAAACUCUUAAACAAGUUUCAUUUUUGCUAUUCUGUACGUAUAUUUGCUAUUAAAGAACAAAUUAUUGGCCGCACCGCACUCCGUGCGUUUGCAGAUUUGUAUACCAUCCACUCAUCGAUCCUUUAUUACUUCUCAAUUUAUAAAUUCAUGGCGUACGAAUAUACAGAUGAAUUAGGUGCAUGUAACAACUUAAUGUUACGAAAAGUUUAGGAUAUUGAAUAUUGAAUUUAGAAAUUUGAAAGGCAAAAUAGAAUUUGAGUUGAAGUUCAGGGACUGAGAAGUGCAAUUUACCCGGGAAAAAGGUGUAUAAAUUCCCAACUAACUUUUGGCGGCAUUUAUGUAAUUUUUCUUUUUCAUUCAGCCUUUACAGCAGUUGGUGGUGGUUGCAUUUAUUCUUUUCCAGCAAUUCAAUUUUAGCUUAUCCAUUUCCAGGGCUGUAAAUUGAGCUAGUCAUUAAUAAUUAAAUGCAAAAUCACAAAAAUAUAUAUAUAUUUUUUCGUACAGCUUAAAUUCUUUUAAAAUAACCUGUUGCCGAUGUGGAACGGUUAUUCAGAAAUGUUAUUAGGUUAAGGACCGCUAGUUGGUUAGUGACGUCAACAUGACGACAUAAAUAUUUAUUUAUUAUUUUUAAUUUUAUUUUAUAUAUAUUAUUUUGGUGUAUUACUUAAUUAUAAAAUAUUAAUUUUUGGACCAAAUUAAGUAGAUACAAGUUUCAAGUUUUACUUUUUAUAACACUAAUAUAUACUAAUGGAAUAUAAAAUCAGCUAAGUUGAGUUUAAGUCGUUGAAUUUUAAUAUAAUUUAAUUAAAAAAUUUGACCGAUUUGAUCAAAAUCGGACCGGUUGUCGGUUUGAUGGUUUAAUGCCGGUUCGAACAGUUCAAAAUAGUUUCUGACUUAUCCAUUUUAAAGGGUUGAAUAUAUCCGCUUUAUAGAAUUAGUCAGAGUCGGAUCGGUCGAACUGACCAAUUAGACCUGAUUUUUAAAUCGAUCAUUGCCCGUUGUUUCACGUGAUAUUUAUCUGGUUCGAGUAUUGGCUUGACUCAAUUGGUUCAUUUAAUAAUAAACAAGUUGAGCUUGAUCAUAGCUUGUUCGUGUUUGGCUCGACUGAGCCCAAAUACAUUACACGUAAAAAAUAUUUGAAACUCCUUAAGAAUAAUAAUUUUUGUAAUAUCUUUUCUAAGAUAAGUUCUAAAACAAUCCGGUCGUGAAAGAGUGCUCCCCCAAUACUUUGAGGAGCAACUUGAGUUCGACUCGAAACGAAAUGAGUUGGCUCGAGCUAAGCUCAACUGAGCUAGCUUGCUUGUGUCUCGACUUAAAAUGAUAUGAGUUUACUCGAUCUCGACUCGAUCAAAUUUAGCCCGCCCGCUCUUGUUCAGCUCAUUUACACUUUUUGUAACAUGACCAUUGCUAACCGUUGAGAUGCAAAAAAAAAAAAAAAAAAAAAAAAAACUCUUUAGAGCCUAUAAUUAAUUUCUGGGGUUUAGCCUUAUUAAUUUGUUUCAACACAUUUCCCAAACAAAUGAACCCUCCAAAAAUUGCAUUGGUCUCUUAUUCAACCAAUUCAAACGUGUAACUUAGCCUCUUUCUCCAAAAAACAAAAAAAAUAAAAAAUAAAAGGAAAAAAAGUUUAGAUAGUUUAGUGAUCAUAUAUAUGUGAUCGAUCAUCACCCUGCAGGGAUUGGUACAUGCACUUUAGGCAAUCUCAAACUAAGCUUGAAUUGAUACACGGCGUCGCUGUGCGCGGGCCAGCCACCGACGGGCACAACAACUGCGGUGCCGUGGGCGAAGGUGAACGACUUUGUCCCCCCCACCACUCUCAGCCCCUCUCCGGCACCCUCGUCGGCCUCCAAGCUGAGACUUCCACGACACUCUGGUGAUAUGUCCAACUCCAAGUGUAAGAUAUUAAAAGCCGCGAGUGUCGAGCCGUCCGUGGAGAGGAGGAACCCCCGAACUCUUCCGACAACACGCGAUAUGCUCUCAGGGCCCGCCGUGAGAUCACGACGGAAGACGAACGCUGUGCUAUUUGCCUGUAGGCUCCCUCCCUGCAACAGCAGGUCGGGGUCGGUCAAAAUGGGGUGGUUGAACGAAAACUGAGUAGUCCUACUAACAUAAAGGGAAAGUGAUAAAGCGGAUAAUUGGUCGCGAUCGUGCCACGGCUUAGAGGGAAGGGGCGAGAUGGUGGCGAGGAGGAUGACGACGAGCACGGCAGCUGCGACGGCGAUGAAGAAUAUAACCUUGGCUAGCAUAUUGUGGCCUUAUACAUUGCUAGGCCGAAUAGCAUGAGAAUGAGAAGAAUUUUCUCUUUUUUUUUACAUAAAUACUAAUUAAUAUGAUGAUAAAUAUGGUAAAGAAUAUUUGGUCACGCUCGUUGCACUUGCUCCAAUAUUGAUGCACCACUUCAUAAUAACCAAACCACUAUUAUCUUUAGCUGUGCGAGCACAUGGUUUCCAAUCAAAGGGAUGCUAAUUAUUAAUGCUUGUAGUACAAGAGUAGGUGCAUGAGGUGUCUCCCAACACCAACAGCUGGAGCAGUUUAUUUGCUUAUCAGAGCUAGUUUCGCCUUACCGUAACAUGCACGAUUAUUCAGUGAAUUAUUAUUAGAAAAAGUACUCUACUGAAAUUGUUUCAGGCUUAUUUUCUCGACUUAAGUAUAGAUAAAAAUUAGACCAAAUGGAUAGAAAAAAUAAUAUUAUUUUAUACUGCCUUAAGCAUUAACUCGUAUGGUAUCAGCAUAAAAGAUCUCGAGUUUAAAUUUUACUAAAUUUUUAUAAGUAUAAAUAAUUGACCGUCGUUCUUCCGUUGCUUUUGUUUUUUCCUCUUUUCUCUCAUUUUCUUUUCAUAGCAUUCGAAACUGAGUUGACGAUCCUAAACAAACUUUUCCACUCCAUCCAUGCUUUACCUAAUUAAUCUAAAAUUAUGCUCCAAUUAGCUAGAUAUAUUAUUGGAAAUGAAAUACAUGGAUAAAACAAAAGCUUCUUUCUUUCUUUUUUUUUUUAAACUUUGGGCUCGGUUGUACCGUUGCUGCCACAAUGCAGCUGGUCCAAGUUUUUGUGAAAUGAGCCUUGACCACUUUGUGUGGCCCAAAAUUUACUCCUCGUGGCCCACAUGACGCGCGAUUCAAAUUCAAAUACAAAAUUCAAAUUUUUAUUUGAAUUAAAUAUAUGCAUAUGUCUCCCACUUGUCCCUCCUAUUUUUCACUCAAAUUCUUCAACUCCCAGAAGAAACUAUAUGUCUUACACUUUAUUUUCUCAGCUUGUUGUUCGCGAACCAGUCCGUGUUCAACUUGAAAUGGGUUUGAGGUCGACCAUUCGUUUAAUAAACUAAUUUAUUAUUCGCGAGUCAAUUCAUGCUUGACUCGUUUAUUAACGGGCUAAAAGCGAGCUAGCUUUUUCAGUUCGAUAUUUUAACGAGCUCGCAUAAGUUGGGUCUUUCAGCUUGAUAUUUUAGUUCAAUAUAUUAAUGAGCUAGCACAAGUUGGCUUUUUUAACUUGAUAUUUUAAUAGAGUCCUGUCGAAUACGACUGCCCCAGCUCGCACAUGCUUGGCUUGUUGACCGUGGUAGUUUCAGCUAUAUUGUUUCUACGUCUAUUAAAUGACUCACCCAUUUUAACUGGUUAAGCACUAUAAAUACUUAAGUAAAUGAAUAAUUACUUGUGUAGCCUCGUUAUUAAAAAUAUCUUUCCUGUUAAUACACGUUUAGUCAUCUCAGAUUAAAUCUGAGUUAAAUUUUUACUUUUGUUAGAUGUCUCAUUUAAAGAGUAAAUAAGAAAAAUUAGUGACGAUAAAUGUGUAUAUUUAAAAAGAUCAAUUGAUAAUUUUAUAUUGAUAAUGAUUGUCCUUAAUAGUUUACUAAAACUUUGAAAUCUUAAAAAGUAUUUUUAAUAUUAAUCUUUUAAAUGAGUAAAUAAAAAAAUAUGAAAAUUUUCAAAGAUAUAUGAGCAAUUGUUCCUAAAGUAAAAAGUAGGACGGCUACUGCACCAUACGUUUCGUCCUUGGCAAUGUCAAACACUGGGCCACUUAAAUUAGCCCAAGUGGCCCUCAACUGCAUCAAAGUGGUUUAUUUUUUAUUUUUUAUUUUUUAAAUUUUUGUCCCCUCGAAAAAAAAGAGAAAAGGCUCAAUCCUCUAGGCUAAUAAGAACCCACCAAGUAACCUAAUAAUAAAGAGCUGGGCUCGGUCCGGGUCGGGUCUAAGUCGCCGCGCGCGGUCGAAACAAAUCCGAACCACCGGUCAUACUCGGCCUGGCCCACUCGACCGAACCCAACAACACGCAAUUUGACCAGACCCGAUUCGGAAAUUGGCUCGCCGACACUAUAUCAAGCCCAUUGGGCUCCCCAGCCCAUCCCCAAACGAAACCCUCGCCUCCUCUCUCCCGCACCCCCCGACCUCCUCCCCCUCCUCUUCCCCCAUCUAGGGUUAGGGUUUCCGACGGAGGCUCCGACCCCUCUCGAUCUCUGCGGGAUCUCUUUCUCCCUCUCCGUUGAGUUCGAGCGCAUAACCCUGGUAAGAAGAACCCUCUCCGAUCCCUCUCCUCCUUCCUUUUCUCAAAAAUUUAGGGUUUUUCUCUCCCAGAUCUACUGCAAAUCGGAGUUUUUGUAGUUUUUAGGGUUCUGUGUGUAUUUGUGUAUGUGUGUGUUGGAGAUCUGCUGAGAUCUACUAAAAAACGGGUGAUUUGGGAGAAAGAAGAGAUCCGGUGUAGAACGUAAGCCCAAUUUCUUUGUUUUUUUGUUUUUUUUCCCCUUUUUUGGGUAGCCAUGGGCUGUGGAGUUGUGGAAAUUGGAAGAGAUUCGGGGACUAAUUUGUAAACUUCCGCUCGAUCGAGAAAUUUGGGGAAAAUUAGGGCAUCUAAUUGGGCCUAUUUGGGCCGCAUAUGCGUAGAAUGCCCUAGAAGCCCAUUAGAUCGGUUUUACAGGGCGUUUUAGCGUCCCAUUACCCACGUUAUGAUUGUUUUGUAGGCGAUAUUAUGGGCCCAAUGGGCCUUGGGCUUUGAAAUUUCCCGUUGUAGGGUAAAAAAAAAUCUAUGGACCUCCCUGCAUUAUGUGUAACUUUGCAUGCAAUUACUAUUACUUUUUAGGGUUAAUUUCAUACAAGUUCUUGCAAACAUAGUGAAUGACAAAUAUAUCCCUAUAAAGUUCAAUUUUUAUAUGUUGUUCCCGCAAAAGUCUUCAUGGUUUUAAAUAUGUUUCUGCCGUUAGAAUCCGUUAAAAAAGUUUAGUUAACCAUAGUUUAAAUACCUAACUUUGGUUAGUUUUUGACAUUUUUACCCCUCUUAUAUUAUACUAUUAUGGUUUUUGGAGGGUCAUAUUUGUGAUGACAAAAUUGAAAAUAUAAAUAAUUCUCUAACGGUAACGAACCAGAGGAACAUAUUUAAAAUUUUAGAAUUUUUAUAGGGAUAACAUAUGAAAGUUAAACUUUAUAUGGAUAUAUUUGCCAUUCACUAUAUUUGCAGGGACCUGUAUGAAAUUAACCCUACUUUUUAUUAGCACCGAUUGAAACUUUUGAAAUGUGGAAAGUUUAGAAAAUAUAUAUUUCAUGAACUUUGUCCGACUGUUGUUGCAUUUCAUUUAAUCCUACUCCAAUAAUUUUGAAUUAAAUGGAUUGAGAAUUUAUAUGUCAUCUUGGAUAAUAUUCUAUCGAGAACUUUAGUAUAUAACUAGUAUUGAUGCUUUCGAUGGUGAAGUUAUUAUUAAGGAAUGUGAAAUGACUGUUCAUCUUCAAAAGCUUAAGCUAUGUCAGAGAAUGGUGUUUUAAUAUUUUAUAUUCAAUACACUCCGUCGUGUCUAGGCUCGAAAUAUUUUGAGAGGGCGAAAAUGUGGACUUGACAUAAAUAGGAGGAAAUUAAAUGAGAACUAGGGGCUUUUUGGAAUUCAAACUCCGGACUUAGCGCUCUGAUGCCAUAGUAAAGAAUGUGAAGUUAGACGUGAUGCGACAUUAUUAUAGGGCGAAGAUGUGGACGUGAAUUAAAUGGGAGGAAAUUAAAUGAGACUAAGGGCUUGGCAGGAUUCAAACUUAGGACCCCCACCUUCGAUACCAUAUUAAGGAAUGUGCAACAACCGUUUACCUCCAAAAGAAUAAGCUACUAGAAAAUGGUAUUUUAAUAUUUAAUAGUUAUUGCUUUUGUGCAUCUUCAGAUGGUCGAUUUCUUAUCAGAGUGGAUAUGAAGAACUAAAAUGCCGAAACACUUCUUAUGUGGCAUUAAGAUACUAGUAUAUUGUUUUCCCCUUUGAUGACUCUAUUUGAGAGGAAAUCAUCCAACAUAUUGCGAUUUAGGCAACUUAUAUUGCUUUAUCGGAAUUGAGUAUAUAGAAUUUUGAGUGCAAAGUGUGAAAUAUAUGGCUCUAUUUGUUAGGGUGACACUUGGACAGUAGUUACUCCUUUUAAGUUAAUUCUGCUGAUAUGUAGAAAAGGGUGUGUGCUGAGGCGUGCAGGUGUGCCGUGUCAUUUCGGAGGCACACCAGUCAACAGCAUGGCAAUCCUUGAUCACACUAUUUGAUCAACUGUUCUGUUUUAUGCAUAGCAUGUUCUUUGUAAUUUAGGAAAAGUUAGGAGUUAUAUUGAAAUCAAUAGAACUCUAUAGAAAAUACACAGCUUACCUUUGUUAAUUUGGAGGAAUGGUAAUUCCAAAGCUAAAUUGGUUGCGCAGGAUUUGCUGGUUUUGACAUUUAUUUUGGAUGUGCAACUAGUUAUGAAUGAAGGAUGUGAAUGCAUGGGCAUUCUAGUUUUUUUUUUUUUCACGAAGAUUUCUAUUUUAUGAAGUUUUUUCCCCACAAGGAACAUUGUUCUCAUGGGAACCUUUUACAUGGUUUUAGUUUUUCUACAUGCAUCUCUAGGUUUAUUGCUAGAUCAUACCAAAGGUGGAGUGAUUUGUGGGAGAACAGAAGACUCUUGAAUCAAGAAUCCCGGGAAACUUGAUAGUAAAACACAUAAACUGUUUAGACACAGCAUGGCAGAAGCCAGUGACACUGAACUAGUUAGUAAUGAAGAAGUGACCACAACACCGACAGGCAGGCGCAGGAGGAAGAAGUCGAUUGUCUGGGAGCACUUCACCAUUGAGGCCGUGGCGGGGGGUUGCACACGGGCCUGCUGCAAACUCUGCAAGCAAACAUUCGCAUACAGCUCUGGUUCGAAAAUUGCAGGCACUAGCCAUCUUAAAAGACACAUCACAUUGGGCUCCUGCCCCAAAAUCAAAGAUCAAGAAAGGAAGCACCUGGCACUCACUUCAGGUACAAAAACUGAUGGAGACAUGUCAGACCCACCACCCAAGAGGCGGUACAGAAUAUCUGGCUUUGCUAAUGCCUCAUUUGAUCAUGACCGCUCAAUCAGGGAACUUGCAAAGAUGAUCAUCGUGCACGACUACCCGCUUCACAUUGUCGAACACCCUGGUUUCCUUUCUUUUAUCGAAAGCCUACAACCACGGUUAAAAAUGGUAGAUGUUAAUGCAAUUGAAGGAGAAGUUCUAGCCGUUUAUCAGUCGGAGAAACAGAAUCUGAUGCAAGUCCUAGGCACUAUACCAGGUAGGAUCAGCCUCACUAUAGGCCUGUGGACUACAAGCCAAACUCUUGGCUACGUCUCGCUGGCAGGGCAGUUCAUCGAUAAUGAUUGGAAGUUGCACAGAAGGAUGCUCAAUUUCUUGAUGGUGUCUUCUCCGCAUUCAGAAAAUGCACUCAGUGAAGCCAUUGGGUUUAGCCUUUCAGAUUGGAAUUUGAAGACCAAGUUAUUCACCAUCACCUUAGACAAUAACUGCUCGUCACACGAUAUCUACAGUGCAAAUCUCAGAGAUCAUCUCUCUAACAAGAAUGCGCUUACCCUCAAAGGUCAGUUGUUUGUGGUGCGAUGCUAUGGCCAUAUUUUGAACGUAGUUGCUCAGGAUAUAAUUGCAUCAAUUCAUGGUAUCAUAUACAAUAUACGAGAAAGCGUGAAAUUCGUAAAAGCCUCUCCGGCACGAGAAGAGAGAUUUGCAGAGGUAGCCUUGCACCUUGAAAUCCCAAGCACGAAGACCCUUUCCCUUGAUGUAACUACGCAGUGGAACACAACUUACCUCAUGCUGCUUGCUGCUUUGGAAUACAAACAAGCAUUCACUGUCUUGGAAACUUGUGACGAUCACUACAACGAAGCACCAUCAUCCGAUGACUGGAAGAAGGUGGAGACUGUUUGCAUAUUCUUGAAGCUUUUAUAUGACUCUGCAAAUGUCAUCAUUUCAACACCAGAGCCAACAUCAAAUAUAUUCUUCCACGAAGUGUGGAAAAUUCUCCUAGAGCUGAGUAAUGCGAUAUCGAGCGAAGAUGCUGUGGUAAGUGGGAUUGCUAAAGAGAUGCACGAGAAGUUUGACAAAUAUUGGAAAGACUGCAACCUUGUAUUGGCAAUCGCGGUGGUUAUGGACCCACGUUUCAAGAUGAGGCUUGUGGAGUUCAGUUUCUCCAAAAUAUAUGGUGCGGACUCAGCUAGGUAUGUCAAGUUGGUUGAUGAUAGUAUUCAUGAGCUUUAUCAAGAAUAUGUUGCCCAGCCACUUCCAUUAACCCCAGCUUAUGUCGAACAAGGGGAAAUGAAUAACAUUAAUGUCACCGAGAAUAAUGCCACUGAGAGUAAUGCCACCGAGAAUAAUGAUAAUAAUAAUAAUAAUCAGCCAACAACCCCAAUUCCUACUGGGGACGGGCUUCUAGAUUUUGAUCUCUAUCUCUCAGAGAUGGCCAUAAACCAACCGACCAAGUCCGAGUUAGAACAGUAUCUGGAAGAGUCCCUCCUACCGCGGAUCCAAGAGUUUGAUAUUCUGAACUGGUGGAAGCUCAAUACUAUCAAGUAUCCGACACUGUCAAAGAUGGCUCGGGAUGUGUUGGCUAUUCCGAUCUCCAUGGCGAGCACGAGCUCCUCCAUAUUUGGCACCGGAGCGGGUAACCGAGUGCUCGACGAGUACCGGAGCUUGUUGCGGCCUGAGACGGUGCAGGCGCUUUUCUGUGCGAAGGAUUGGCUUCAGUACUUGCCCACCGGAGUGGAGCCACCGUCGUCGGCCGUCGUCAAAAUGGAGAUCUAGUUCAUGCCCCAAGUGUUUUCCUCUUUCCCUCGUCGCCACACCAUGUUUGGCAUGUAUAAGUUAAUGGCUCAGAAUUCUAUGACAGGAGGAGGAUCUAGUUUCUUCAGCGUUUUUUUUUUUUAUUUUUCUUGUUGGGAAGCGAAGUUGUGUUUGUAGGUUUUAAUUGUGUUGUUGUAAUGUUUGGUCAAUCUAUUAGAGACUUGGAUGUUAGGAGAGUAAUUAGUUACUGUUGUAAUAUUACAUCUGCUGGUUUUUAUUGCAUGUUAUAAAAUGAUCAUGGAUACUGUUCAUGACUUACUUAGGAGCUUGUUAAAGGAUGUGGGUUGAUGAUAUGUGCUUUUAUUGCUGUGAUAAUUUGUUGUGGGAAGGGCAUGAGCACCUGCACCGUACCAGCAAUUUCGAAACUAUUUCGCUUAAUAUCAUAGCUUUUGAGAAAUUAUUAUAUGGGCUAUGCUUAAGUGUCCUCUUCGAAUUUGUUUUUAAAAAAAAAAAAAAAAAAAAAAAAAAAUUGUGUCUGAGCUCUAUAUGGAGAUAUUGUCAAACAUCAUCACGAUAUUUUGAAUUUUUUUAAUUUUUAAAAUAAUUCUUUUAAAAUUUUAUUUGACUAACCGACCUAAAGAAUCCAAUGAAUCGUUUAUCGUCUUUAGAAAGAGAAGAAUGUUUCGUCGUUUUCAUAUUCUUUUUAUAAGUUAUGAGAUUUUUUUUGAGCUCAUUAAAAUUGAAUGAAAAUUAUUAGAAUUUUUAUUUAAUUGUUACAAUUAUAUGAAUAAGUUGUUAAGAUUAUAUAUAAUCUGAUUGUUAAAAUUAUAUAUAAAAAAUAAAAAAUAAUAAAUUAUUCAUUAUUUUAUUUUUUUUUUCUAAAAAAAAUUGAUGAAUCAUUCACGGUCUAAAAAAUAACGUAAAGACAAUGAAUCACUCACCGUCUUCUAAAUUGCAUUAAAAGAAAAAUAAUUAACCCUUUUUUUAAUUUUUGUUUAAUUUAUACUAAAAUAUGAUUAUUUAAAUAAUUAUAAAUUUUGAAACGGGUAAAAUUACAAAGAGUCUCCACCAGAGUCAACCCAGUAAUCACAUCCUCGACAUAAAUGAUGUAAUGAAAGUAUGAAACUGAAGUAAUUUGAAAAGGCAAGGCACAAAACAUUACACAUGUUUUGCUAUAAAAAAAAGAGGAGGGGAAAUAUAAUAUAAUAUUACAUCAUGACUGGGAAGGUCUAUUUAUUGAAACCACAGCACUUGUCAGAUCGUCAAGGAAACUAACAAAACCACGUACACACAUUUCUUUAUUUAAAGUUUUAAACCUUUCUGUGCUUUCAUUACCAUUGAAAUUAAAUUUCACUCAAAGCUUAAUAAUGUGUAUAAGUUCAGAAAAGGGGAUCAAUAUAUUAUGCGUCAGAUCAAGGAAGGGGCUUCAUCUCCUGCUUGAUAGCUGCAACAAGCUGGUCGUAAGCUUCUCCCCAUGCAUUCUUCAUUUCCGGGCUCCACAUUUCCGGCACUGCCUCCUUUAUCACCUCCAACAGUGCGAACCGCGUCACCUGCGAUGCACCCAUCACAAGAAUCAGUAAUCAUCAAUCAAAGCGCGCGCUAACAAAAUAAAGAUUUAUAUUUACAAAAAAAAAUACAAGAAAGUGAAAUAGAGAUUCAAGAACUGGUUCUAUCCACCGCAAUUCAGCAUCUAUACAUUCUGCUGUUACUGCAGCUUUUAUGUUCAGAAACCGAUCGAACAUAAAGCUGUACAGAAAUUAACCAAUCUUUUUGACCUCUUCUCUGUAGAAAGGAAUUAAUGAAUGGCGAGAAACUUUGAGAAGAACAUUGCACUGGAUCCUACCUCAAAGUGUCCGUCGACGACACCCGACUUGUAGUGCAUGGUGCCGAGCUUCUUCAGCGUCGUCUCUCUCACCGUCACCUUCCCUGCUUUACGGAGUUGCGCUGCUGAUUCGCACGUCUGUUGAGAAUCAAAUAAUGUACGCACAUCCAUUAUAUCUUUUCGAUCGCCAAAAACAGAACAAUAGCGCAGAGAUACUUGAAAAAGAAGAGAUAUGAACAUACCAUAACAAAAACCGACAUAGCAUGGGCCUUGAGCUUGGGGUUCUUAUCGAGCGGCACGUUGGAGUCGCGAAGAUAGGGGAAGAGCUGGCUGGCCGACGGUGCAAUUUCGAAGAUCCUAACAAAUACACAUACGCAUAUACGUAAACAUAUAAGUAUGAAGCAAUCAACUAACAUGCACAUUUACAUGCAUAUAUAUAUAUAUAUAUUUACGUACUUCAAGAAGAACUUCAAUCCUAACUCCGCAGCGUUCUUCUUCAUCACCUUCCAUGAUUCCACCACGAGCGCUUCCUGCUCUACGGUGAAUCCUCUCGACUCCGAUUUGCCGCAUCCCUCAGAUAGAGCCAUCUUCAAGAAUCUUCGUAAUUUUACCUCUUGUUUUGACUACUAGUAUAGAUAUAUAUAUUUAUUAGUUCUAUUUUGUUGAUGCAUGUACAAUAUAUAUAGUGGUGCUAGAGGUGGUGCAGAAGCGGCUUUUCGGCGAAGUGGAAAGGCAAGCAAGAAGCAGAAGCAAAAGCAGAAGCAAAUUCAUAAUUGGAUUGAUUAGCAGUUGGGCAGAAACCAUGGGCUGAAAACCAUAGUGGGUGGAUUUGUCUUACACUGUUGGCUGCCAAGCCGCCAAUAAAGAAAAGUGCCUGCGGAAGAAUCCUGGGAUAAGUAAUAAAUUAGUUGAAUAUGUACAUCGUUAUCUUGCUGAUCUUCGGCUUUUCAGGAUGUCCAAAGGGCCAAAUGCAGACCACCACUGUAAUGUGUACUGUUUGUGCUUUUAGAUUCGAACCGAUAGACUGAUCGACAACAGUGAUUCUGUCAUGGCGAAGCCACCUCAUGGGAUUUUUAUUACCUUCAAAUGUAAUUUCUUAGGCAAACUUUUCGAAUGAAACAUGACAACAUCUGACAUAUAUAUAGCAUCCCAAAAUUACAAUUUAUAUGCCUCCUUUACUUUUACAAAAGCGGCAUAUCCUCAAUUAUCUCCGGUCACUGGAUCAAACCAAAGCUCAAUGAAAGGCUAAUCGACUUUCUUACACUCGUCAUUUUGAAAAUCACCCACGUUAACGGGGCCAACCGAUCAAAACUAACUGAUUGUUCUUACACCAACAAUAAAAUUUGUCGGAGGUUCGUGCGCGCAUCAAAACUGAUAUACGUGUCGGUCUCUGCGAAACUAGGCCAUCUCCGGCUCUUCAGCUCUUCCCCUUCUCCACCUUCCUCUUACUUACCUCGUCAACGUCGACAGUGAUGCGGAAAAUGUAAUCCUCACUCUCCAUCUCCUCAUGCAACAAACUGACGGUUGGAGUGUCGACAAACCUCUUGCUUUGGAUCCGCUCGCUGCUAUUCGAUAUUCUCUUCCCCUUCCUAAGGGUAUAGAAGAAAUAGUGGAACGCUUCCCCGAAUGUGUCCCAUUCAACAGACCACGUUAAUCCUGGGGCUUCUAAGAAUGGCCGGCGCAAGUGCGGCUGCAGAGAGAAAAAGAUCACAUAGGGAAAUGAAAUGAGGAAGCACAGAGAUCAGGUAUCUUUCUACCUGUCCAAAGGUAAUGGAAAUGAAAGUGCCUUCCGGUUUCAAGACCUUGUGAACUCCUUCGAGCAUUUUCGUCACCUUAUUUACUAUUUCAGGAUGGGGAUUCCACGGAUCGCCGCUGUCCACGAACAAUACCUCCUUUCAAAAGGAAUGCUUAUGCAUGAGUAGUCUAAUGGAAGCAUUUGACAGAUAAGAGCAUAAGAACUAUAACACCCAGGGAUUCAUCAAACUAAUUCUGAUCACUCUAGAGACCUCGAAAAUAACGUGCUUCAUUAUGCAUGUUAACCGCAUUCAUUAGAGAGAAAAAUCAACAUUUUUUUCUUAGGAAGGAUAGGAUGAGAAAGUUGUGGAGACUGAUGCUCCCCGCAUGUAAAACUGGAAUAGAGGACAAAAACAUGGUAAAUGGCACCCAUAACUUAGGUUAAAAAAAGAGGGGCAAAAUAAGUAUAUAAGAGCAUGGAAUUAAGCAUCACUGUUGAUCUCCCGCAUUGGCCACGCCAAGCCAUCCUCUCUCACUAACGGCAAGGUCGACAAAUCAAGAUUAUUAUUUCCCGCCCUUGACUUACUCGAAAAAGAGAAGAGAGAGCAACAUAUUUUUUGGAGAACAGCUCGUUAGAGGUACGGCAAAAUGCAAGGGAAGAGAGGAAAAGAAGAGGUUACGGAAAGCUGGAAAGGAAGAUCCUAAUGUAACUCUUGCUGUUUCUUUCUUUUCUCUUUGUCGCUUCACAAAAAAUUAAGGAAAGGAAUGAAGGGUUUCCCACUAAGAAUAACUUGUCUAAGAGGCUGGAUUUGAAAGUCUUCUAAAACAGGGAUCUUCGAAUGUAACAUUUCGAUCGCACAUCAAAGAACACAAAAGGAUCAAAAUAAGACAUUAUUACUGUUACGUGCUCAAAAUUUCCUUUUUCUUUUGCAUCAAAAUGAGUAAUUAGAACUUAAUAAUGAGCCUACGACCACAAGAGCAAAAAAAGAUUGGAAUUGAAAACGGAGAUGGUGAGGGCGCCUCAGCUGACAUACCAUUGUUCCUUUCUCAAUCACUAUAUCAAAGGAUUCGGAGUCAAAAGGCAGGUCUAGCAUGUCGGCGACAACAACUUUGAUUCCUGCAAGGGAAGAGAAAUAGCCAGAGUUCAUUACUCGGGAAAGAGUAUGACAAGCUCGUACUUAAGCGCAUGUUUGUCUCCACUACAAUUGUUCGAUAAAGUGCUAGAAAAAGCAUUAUCUUAAAUUCCUCCAUAAAACUUUUCUAUUCGCCAGACGCUCCAUUACAAGUAAUUGCAACCGAAAGCAGAAGCACGUCCAAACAAUCCUAUAAUAAGUUCACUCUAAUCACUUCUCUCUAUAGCAGAAUCAGAAGGUGCAGGAGGGGAACUUCUUCUACUAUUAGGCCUCAAAUUUUUUUUUUUUUUUCCUUUAAUCAUUUCUGCUACAGCAAAAGCUCUAAACUUUGAUAACUGCAACUAGAAGCAGAAGCGGAAUCAGGUUACCGCCGAGGCCCCGAUCCGCCAAGCGCUUCCGCAUCCUCUGGACGGCGACGGGGGAGAGGUCGACGCAGGUGAUGUCGACGACGCCUUCGCGGCGGAGCUCCUCGCACAGCCGCGAGUUCCCGCUCCCGAGCUCCAAUACCUACCCAGAAGCAAAAGAAAAUAGAAAGAAGGAGAGAAAGAGAAGGUUAUCAGCCAAGGGUUUAGGGUUAGGGUUAGGGUUAGGGUUAGGGUUUGGGAGGAAGAGGCGUACGGAGAGGGAGGGGGAGAGGAGGGGGCGGAGGAGGUGGCGGAAGUGGGAGUAGUCCUUGCACCACUCGUAGUGCUCCUCCGACGAGAAUCGCUCGUCCCUUUUCUCGAUCAAUUUUUCCCAAUUAAAACAAAAAAGGAAAAUUAAUCCCAUAAAUUUAAAAAUAAAGCGGAAAAAAGAGGAAUUAUAAGAAAAAAAAAAUGGUCACCAGUAGCGAGGAUCGAGAUACGCGGCGGCGGUGCCCGGCGCGACCUCCGCCACCUCCGCCGCCGCCGCCGCCGUGCGCUCGUGACUCUCCGCCGCCGACAUUGUCGAAACCCUAGCGGCCAAAUUCCUAAACCGAGGGGGACGGGGUUAACACGCGACGCCUCGUUAUCGUGCCCCAAAUUGCUGGACUUGGUCCACCACGUCACCCGUUGACUGCCUGGUCAAAGUUCCACAUCCUCACAACAUCAAAAAAAAAAAAAAAAAAAAAUGGUGUAUCGCGUUGAAUCACUGGUGUUCUGGUUAUUGCUGGCCUUGAAGAUCAAUUAAAUCCCGCUCUGGUGGCGACUAAUAACAUCGUGUGGAAAUUGGAUGCGAAUUAGUGAUUAAUCUUGUUUAUGAGAUUAAAAAAUGUAGUAAUUAUAGCAUUUGUAGCUACAAGAAAUAUAACUUUUUGGCGUUUGUAUGAGAUACGUAAAUAAAUAGAAUCAGUUUAUCCGUUUUUGAUUACACGAUACAAAAGAAUACAAUUUUUGGUACAUUUAAUUUCGCACGUCACAGGAUUCACCUCGCAAGCGAUUCCCUCCCACUGCUGAAGCUUUGAGAAUCUGACGAGCUGUUCCAGCUCUCUAACAUUGCAGAUACUUUCGACAGAGACUGAGCAACUUCUCCCAUACUCGGCCUACUCCGCGCGUCCCGCCGUAAGCAUUUCUCAAUCAAUUCAACCAUAAACAUCGCUGAAUCCACAGUAUAAUUCCAUUCCAGUGAUUGAUCUAUGAAUCCCUUUAUCUCCUCCCCCGCGACGGUUUCUCCUCCUCUGAGCAGUUCAGUUACAGCAUCCCUUCCUACUUCAGAAGCCUCCCUCCCCGUGAUCAUCUCCAUUAGAACAACGCCAAAUGCGUAAACAUCGAUUUUGGGGGAUACCAAUCCGUGCUCAAUGUACUCUGGGGCCAUGUGACUGCUCUUCCCCACGAUGUGCGUCGUCAGCGCGAAAUCUCCUUCCUCCUCUUGCGCUGGUCUUGCGCGGCUGAAAUUCGAAAUCUUAGCGCGAAAAUUCGAGUCCAGAAGAAUGUUAGUGCAGCAGAUAUCCAUGUGCACGUACGCGGGUUUACAGAAGCUGUGCAGGUAGUGGAGCCCCUCGGCGACAUCUAAAGCCACGAGCACUCGUCGGCGCCAGUUCAGGGCCGCAGAGAAACCAUCACUUGAUUUGAAUAGCCAUUUGCUCAGACGCCCGUUUUGGGCCUGUUCAUGCACAAGGUACCAGUAGCCUUUGUUGAAGCACAGGCCAUGAAGCUUGUUCAAGUUGAAGUGACUGAUCUGUUUGAGUACGCUGAUCUGCGCAGUCACGUCUCCGUCCACCUUUCGGACGGCGACGGCCUCCCCGUCGAGCACGGCACGAUACGACGACCCCCCGUCGAUCUGGCGCUCCGAGCUGAAGUUCUCCGUGGCGGUCUUCAGAUCUCUGAACUUGUAGAUCUUAAGAGAAGGCCUGAUGCCGGAAAUGCGGGAUCGAAUGUCGCUGGACGAAUCAGCGUUGUCCGCAGUUACGAUCGCUGGCGGCGUACUUCCCCGAUCGUCUUUGUAAUUGAUCUUGGAUUCGUCUGCGCGGAUACCUCCGUAAGUUCUCUUCUUGCUGGCCUUCAGAAUAGCAAGAACCAGUGGUGCAGCUGCUGCUACAACAAGAGCAGCUGCUGCAACUCCAGCCACUGCAAAAAUCCAACCGCGCUUCGAGCUCUUGUGCGUGGGGGGAGACGCAGCGGUCAGGGGCGGCGGGGGCGGUGAAGCGCUUAUGAGCUGAGACGCGUUGGGCGGAUUACUGAGAGGAAUGAGGAGAGUGGUGAAGGGAUAGAUAUUAUUAGAAUUCGACAACGCAUUAGCAUCCAAGAUGCUCUGCUGCUGCACCCCAAACAUUCGGCUGAUGAUGUAAAUGGUAUCGCCGGGAUCGACCAAAUAACUCAUCAAAUACUUCACGCCAUUGCGGGUCUGAUUGCUGGAAGGGCAAGCGCAUCGCAGCGGGACGGUGAUAUUCGCUCCGGAUAACACGAACCCGGUGGAGGAAAUGUUGUUUAGAUUUCGAGCUGUAAUGGCCUGGCACGUCGACAGCGCCUGAAAAGUGUUGUUGGCAAUCAAGAAAGCGGUGUCGCCGCCUUUCACGGUGUAAGGCGCGUCGGACUGGUAGUAGCCGUCGGAGCAGGAGCAGGCGACAGGGACGGAGAGUUUGGCGCCAAUGGGGAACGCGGAGGAGGCGCUGGGGAGGGAAUUGGAUUGGGAGAGGAGGGAGGGGUUGGCGGCAAGGAGGGAUGAGACGGCGGCGACGGAGUCGUAGGGGGGGAGGGCGCGGAAGGUGAGGUAGGUGGAGCAAGAUGGGGAGCGAGGAGCGCAGAAGUAGCCGAGGAGGGAGGUCGAAUUGUGCGGGUUUUCGCAGUCUGUCGUGGCGAGGCCCUCGUAGGGUUGUUGGGGGUGGACAUGGAGAAUGGUGGAGGAAGAAAGGAAGAAGAAGAGGAGGAGGAGGAAGGAGGGAGAACGAGGAGCCAUUAGUGUUUGAGGUAUAUGUGGGGGGAGGGAAUGGUGGAGUUUGAAUUAUCAAUUCAACAGGGCAAAAUGUAUGAUACUCCACAUGGUAUCAAGAUAUUGCAUUUUAGUUUCUUUACUNGCGGGUUUUCGCAGUCUGUCGUGGCGAGGCCCUCGUAGGGUUGUUGGGGGUGGACAUGGAGAAUGGUGGAGGAAGAAAGGAAGAAGAAGAGGAGGAGGGGGGAUGGCUAAUAAGUAUGUAUGAGUAAUUGUAGAAUUUGACUUGGGAGGGAAUGGUGGAGUUUGAAUUAUCAAUUCAACAGGGCAAAAUGUAUGAUACUCCACAUGGUAUCAAGAUAUUGCAUUUUAGUUUCUUUACUUUUCGCCUAUAUUAAUCCUAUUCUUCACUGACGGUCCUUAAGGCAAAGAGCAAAGGGCUUGAUGGUUGGUACUUGAGGUUCUAAGUUCGAAUCCUAGUUGAUUCAUAUUUCUAGCUAAAUAUAUUUCUAAAUGAAAUAAACGAAGCGGGUAGCGUACUAUUUAUCUCUCUCUCUCAAAAAAAAAGAAAAUCCUAUUUUCUGAAAAAUAACCGGCGGCUAGCCUAGCGGUUGUUAUUCGGAUUGUUAUUCUUAAGAUUGGAGUAUAAUUUCUAGUUCUGCUUUCACUUUUUACAGAAAUAUGUUAAUUACUUUAUUGAAAGGAAAAAAAAAAUUUAUUAUGUAAGAGAAAUAUAUAAUUUUCUAUAUUGAAGUGUUUUAAGUUAAAAUAAAAGGACCAGAGUGUAGCAUCAAGAUUGUACAGGGGCCAACCAUUACCUUUUGACCCUUUUGAUUAAGGAGCCAUUGUGGACUCUUUCUUUAGUCUACUUUAGUAAGGUCAAACACUCAAAUGCUAGAGAAAUGUUUUUCAAAAAGAAUGUGUUUGUUUCCUCAGUAUGAAAAUAAAAGAGUUUGAGGCUCAUUAAAAAUUCAUCUCCCAAGAAAUAAAAAAUAAUAGAAGGUGGUGGGGUUGAUUGAGACAUGCAUGUAACUCUUCCUUGUAUACACUUGUUGAAAAAACUCGUGCAUUGUUUACUAUUUCAAUGUGUUCAAUCAUGCAUUGUUGAACUAAAACUUGUCAAACCUUUAAAGCAGAUCAUGAUGCUUCUUUUUAUUGAUUUACUUUUAAGUAAAAUGUAGGGUUAGUACCACUAUUGUCCUGUAUUACAAAUUUAUCCUUACCACUUCUUGCUGUGUAUAGAUUAAAACGCAACAAUCAUUAAAGUUUAGAGAUUAAAAUGUGUAAAUAAACAAUACAUAGAUGAACUUGGAAUGUGGAGAUAGUACAAGGACAAUUCGUAUAUUUUACGUUUUAUAUUUUCUAAAGUUCCUAUUAUAGUUGAAGAUGCCAAAGAGGAAGAAAUUUUGGAAACCAAAACAGUGAAAGAAAAUAAUAAAAAGUACUUGAGAUAUCAAUCCCAUAACAUCAAGUUGACCCCUAUCAUUAAAAACAGUAAAGCAAAAGAGUUCUCGAGCUAUCAAUCCCAAAUCGUAAAGUUGGACCUCAUCCCAAAUCACAAUGCUUCCUUAUGAGAGAAGGAUAGCCUUUUUUCUUUUCUUUUUUUUUAAGUACUGCUUAUUUUAAAAAUGCCACAUAGUUGAGGGGGUCUCAGCACAUAAGAAAUAUAUGAUAGGAUCAGAUACACACAGAGAGCUAAACAAUGGAGACAUUAUUUUCUCAUAAGGGGAACAUUUUACAUGUCCAUCAUGUGCACAAUAAGAAGAAAAGAAAUGGUGAAAUUAACCAUGUCAUGUAAACAUGUGCAAGUUUACUCAUACAACACUUUGCAUCAAUUCUUACACCGAGAAACGAUGAAAUAAGCAGUUGCUUCACAGGGGCUUUCCAUUAAGCCACCUCCGAACCAUGGCCAAACACUCCUUAGGCCGGUACUCUGGUGCCGUGUGACCGCCACCCUACACCACAGCACAAACAACUUCGCAUAAAAUCCGACUCUUAUAUAGUAUUGACUUAGAAAUGUGUAGAAUAAUGAGCCAAAAGCUGUAGACCAUUUUGAAAUAUGCCUCUAAACUCUACUUAUUGUUUCCUUGUUUCAUUGACAUCCCCUCAAAUUUCAUUCGCUUACCCAUUGUUUUCUUGUUUCAUUGACAUCCCCUCAAAUUUCAUUCGCUUUAAUUUGAGUGAUAUGAGUCAGUAGGAUUCAAGAAGUUAAAUUAAGAGCAAUUUUGAUAGCUCUCAUCGCUUUUCAGCUGAAGAAGUGCGAAUUCUGGUAGUAGUUAACUAUCAAUAGUUCUCUGAAAUUGCUCAAAUUAAAAGAAAUAAUAGUUAAGAGGGAGUCAAAAAAAAAAAAAUGAAGUUUAUGAGCUUUUUAACAUAGCCUAUAGUUGAGGGGGUCAUUACUCGUAAUACCCCGUCGCCUAAUCUUAAUGUCCACGAGCAAUUUAAGGCAGGCAAAAGAUUUUUACCUUUACAGUCGCAAACGUCAUGUUGUUGGCGUACGUGAUUGUGAAUCUAAAGCAUCAGCACCAAAAUCUUAUUAGCUAGAGGCAAUUAAAUUUCUUAAUUAACAAGAGUCAAAUUCUUUUUUUUCCUGACAAAGUAAAGAGCUCACCCUGCAGCUUGGCCAUCAACAUCCCAUGAUCUCCAGUCAUCCACUAUGGAGAAGUUGAGGGAUCUUAUCCAAGCCUGUGUUCCCAGAAAUGGCACAACCAUGUCGUGAUCACCGCUAAAGAAGAAGAAGAAGAAGAAGAAGAAAUAAGCAAACAAAUAGUUGAAACAUUCAUAUCAAUAACAGGUCUAUUCAUGGCUCUCACCUGUAUACAAGAGCACGGUAACCUCUUCUGGUGAGGUUAUAGUGAUACUUUAUGCUACUAUCAAGAUCUUUAGUAUAAGGAAGCACUUUUUCGCACCUCACCCACUCCUUAACUGUUCCCUGCUACCAUUGUCAGUUGCUAACAAUAAGGAAUUCCCAAUAAAAUCACAUAAAUUACUAGUUAUUUGUCCAAUUAAACUUGUAUAAUGUAAACACACUUUCAAUUGGUUAUUCUAGGCUAAGCAAUGACUUAUUUUGAGUUAUAGAUACUCGAAUACAUAUCUCUCAUCAACCUUGUGUAGUUUACAUGUAUGCCUUAUUGCCUUAUAAUAAAAUUAUACUUUCUAUAUGGCAGUGUUAGAUGCAACAAUCACUCGUUCGGUGAUUUUGGCAUAAAUAAACAUGAGGGGUACAUGCAAUCACUUGUAAAUUUUACCUUUUUUACGUUCAAAGCCUCUCUCGUGCGAUUGUCGUUUGCCCAAUAAUACGAUAAGAAAUAAGCGUAAGACUGCAUGAAGAAUAUCAACAAUGAGUGACGUACUAAGAGAAUUUUCUCGACUUAACUCUAGUGCAAAAGAUACAAAAGGGAAGAUGCACUCAAACACCAGGAUGUAUAUAUACUGCUUCCAUGUUUACAUGGAAGUGUGCAUUUCCAAUAGUGUAGUAGUAAUAAAGAUUCACUUACUCUACAUUCCAAUGGAGGAACCUCUGGUGGACUAGAUAAUUUGGCGUUCUCUCCCUUAAGAUACCUUCUACUUUCGCUUGUAAUUUCCGGUUUUGGGGAUACUAAAAUGCAUUUUCGUUCCAAAACCUGAGCCUUCUCAACUUUAUCCAUAAGCUGCAUGAGAGCAUCACAAAUUCAUUUUGUUGAUAGCAAAUAGUUGGAAUAUGAAAAUCCAGUUUACUGUUGUAUUGUAGUAAACUAAUGUUUGAGAUAAGAAAAGUUUGAUGAGUAAAGAUCUCCGGACCUCUUCAACAGUUUCUAGCACCUGAGCACAUAGCCUGUUACGAGGAUUUCCAUAAUCUUCUCCUUGGCAAUUUUUCUGUGUUAACUGAAAAGGCCAGAACUAUGUCAAUGAACGAUUUUACGACAGUUUGUAUCGUAAGUUCUCGAGGGAAUCACCUCAUAGAGUUGAUCUGAUAUGAUUCCCAUACCAUGAGCAUAUGGGACUUUAUAAUUGUUAUCAUACUUUUCGCCUGUGCCGGGGUUGCCAAUCAGAUAGCCCUGAAAGCAGUCAAACCACAAAGGUUUCCAGAAAAGAAUCUUUAACUUCAGAUUAUUCAGAUAAUCAUAUUCUCAGUGUAUUAAUAAGUUGGCACUCACAAAUGCUCGAACAUUAGCAGAACCAAGAGUAACCUUGACAUAUUAUAACCAUUGUACAUUAACUUCAGCAGAAAGCAUUCUUUCUUAACAAAAACAAAAGUUGGUUUAUCAACUGCCGCAAAAUUAUGAGUACUAGAGUGCUACUUCAGUGUGCUACUUUAUUUUGCGGCAGUUGAUAAACUUAGGAAAAUCAUUGAUAAAUUAUUGAUAACCAAUCAUUUUGCGGCAGUUGAUCAACUUAGGAAAUCGUUCAUACAUCACAGUCAACCUUGCAGGUUAAAAUACAUACCUUUAGAUUAAGACGUGGUUGCUGUCCAGAUUCAAUACCUGCUUGCCAUUCAGUUACUAUACAUUAGCAUUUUAACAACAAACAAUCAUGAAGAGGUUAAAAAAAAAAAAAGAAAAUUAGGUUGCUAGAUAGUGAGAACUAGAAUAAAAGUGUUUGUUGAAAGAAUGUGCGUCAUAUAAUCAAAUCGAUUAGGAAGCAUACAAGAACAUUUCAGCGGCAAAAAAUUAUCAUUUUCUGGUACUACAGCAUGCAAAGAGAGAGUAUAAGUUUACCUUCCGAAAUUAUUUGCGCGAUUAAUGGAGCAACCUUACCAGCGUAAGAAUCACCGGCAACAUAGAAAGGAUUGGACAGGAAUUGUGGGUGAUCGCUGAACCACUGCAUCACAAAAAGGGGCAGCAAAACUGUAAAGGCAACAAAUUUAUACAGUUUUCAGUUAGGAAUCAAUCAAAUAAAAAAUAUAUAUAUGUAUACACCUUCUUGAUGAAAGUGUAGACUUGCAUCGACGAAGAUAUAUCUCCUACGUCGUAUCCUUCCAUUUGUUUUGAAAAGGAAAAACCAGAGCCAACAGGAGAAUCAAGAAAGAUGAUGCUUGAGACCUAAAAGUCAUUGCUUAUUGAUAAAAACGAUGAAGAGCGACAUGAAACAAGUGGAAAGGACAGAGAAAGGGCAUCUCACUUUUGUCCAAGAAUAUGGGAAAUACACCAAACUUGGUAAGCUCCCAUUGUACUCAGCUGUCACAAAUUUCAGAGGACCUACGAGAGAAACAUGAAGAACUUAACCAAAUUUCAUAUCUUUAUGGUAAUUUCAAAAGCAAGCAACUUUGCGAUAACCGAAAACUAAUUCAUGCUGGAAUUGACUCCCAGAUGUUGGGAUCUCAAUAUAGAUUGAACUGUUGCAUCCAAAAGGCCUAACUUACUCUCGAAAACUAUGUUGCAGAUAACUAAUUUUACUCAAAGAAUAGUUAAUUCCUCUUAUACAUUGAUUUUUUGGAAUACUUGUUCGAAUCAUGUGAUUUCUCGUUUGUAAGUCUUGUAGCUGUUAUACAAUUUUACAUCCGAACGGAUUAGAUUUCAAUUGGAAGUCAAUUAUCUAUGUUGUACCCGGAUAAUGCGGUGCACCAUUUGUACCCAACAUUUUCUUACAUCCCCCUUCCUUCGUGUCGACACGACAAUUACAGCUGUUAUGACAAGUGCACAAACAGAAACGACAAAAGGCGAUUGCAAAGUAGACAAAACCACAUAAACAAUAAAAUAAAUGGAACAUACAAGAAUUUAUGUGGAAAACCCUUUACAGGGAAAAAAAUCACAGGUGAAGGAGGAGAGAACUUCACUAUGAAAAAAGGAGUACAAAACUUUUGGGUGUGUACAAUAAUGUAUCACGUCUAGGGCAAAAAGAAGAAGGAAAUUCUUAACGAGUUUGUGCAUUAUCGGGCCUAUCGGCCCAGGCCCUCCGCUACCCACCACAUACAUCCAAUUUUUUUUCUUGACAAAAGAUUUUCCAAAUUUGUCGCACCACGAAACUAUCGACGACGCCCAAAAUCGAAGUCGAUAACUAAAUUUUGAGUCACAUCUAACAACAACAGUGAUUUAGGACAUUGCGUCACUGUCCCAUAAGCAAUUUCGCAGAUUCUGUCGGACUCAAAGUUGAGUGUGUCGGAUCGUUGGCGCUAACCAUUAAUCCCAAAAGCUCGAGCUGUUAGAAAUACGCAACUAAUUCACUUAAAACGUACAGAUACAGCACCCACAGGUCUCGAUUGUGACUCGGCCCUACCAACUUCACGCCAUUUUGAACAUGACUCAGCCCACCAAGCCUCACGCCAUUUCGAAUAUGACUCGGCCCAACAUAGCCUCCCGCUACUGGGCAGAAUAUUGGCCAAUUUAAGCCAACAGAGUGCAGGACGGGGUUGCAACUUCCUAAAAAAAAUUUGGGACCACUAACAGGACCACAUAUUGCACUCACACAGAGAGGCAAAAAGAUUAAGCCAUGCCACAACAAUAAUCCAUACGGCCUACUAAUUGAAUCUUCGGAAAUUAAAAGUUUCAAAUUAAGUUGAAACUCUUGUCACACUUUUGUGCCUCCAUUUAACUACUAAUCGUUCCAGUCUUAUUUAAUUAACUGUGAUAAAAACAAAAAAAGAAAACCUAUUUCGAAGACGAGUCCACUGAAGGCGGAGCAGCGGGGCCCGCCGGUGAGCCAGAGGACGAGCGGGUCGUCGCGGGGCCUCCCCUCCGACUCCACGAAGUAGUAGAACAGCUCCACCCCCUUCUCCUCAUCCACCCCCACAUACCUAUACAUAUUUACAUCCACGUUCUCAAAUUUAAAUCGAUUUGAUUCAAAUUCGAUCUGAAUUUGAAUUCGCGCUCACCCGGUUUCGAAGCGGAAGGGGAGGCGGCCGUCGAAGCCCGGGAGGUGAGUCACGAGCGUCGCGGCGCCGGCGGCGCCGGCGGCGACGGCGACGGCGACGGCGACGGCGGGGGGAGGGGAGAAGAGGAAGGAGAUAAAUAGAGGAAGAAGGAGAAGAGGAGGCCGCAUAGUUAGCAAAAAAAUCUAGUACGUGCACGGCUGAAAAGUAGGUAGCGGUGGUCUUUUAUAGGAAGCAAGUGAUAAUACGCAAGUGCACUGCUUCCCUCAGCUCGUGAAAAUUGUUGGAAUUGACAGUGACCUGUUCCCUUUAGGCCGCUGGGUUUAUUCUAUUUAGGAUAUAAUAGUACUUUUGUACUUUUUUUAUAAUUUUAAUAGUCUAUAGUUUGUAAUGUAUAGCUUUAGUAUCCUGUAACUCUCUUAUUCUCUUUCGAUCGGCAUCUUCAUUAAUUCUCCGUUAAAUCAUAUAUAUUUUAAAUAUAUUAUUUAUAAUUUAUUAAAUAUUUAUUUUAGUACUUUAAUAUAAUUUAUCGAUUUAUUUUAGUAUCAUGUUGUUUUAACUUUAGCACUGAUACAAUAAAAAAAUUAACAAAAGAGAUAACGAAAAGACAAAAAUAAAAUUACAGAAUACUAAAUUAAUAUAUUUUAAACUACAUGAUACUGAAGUGAGAAAGCGCGACAUCAUAGGAGUGAUAUUUAAAAUUUUUUCUUUAUUUUAUUAUGAAUUUAUAAAAAAAAUAUAUCUUUAUUAUUAUUAUUAUUAUUUUUCAAAAUGAGAUACUUAAUUGUUUGAAUAUAACUGAUAUGGUGUGACCACUAUGCAAUAGACUUUUUCACGAGGUUUGUUUUUUUUUUUGUUAGUGAUGUUAUUGGUACAAAAAAAAUACUGCUAUUUCGAAUGGAUUUACAUAAUAUGUUGAGAUUACUAUGAGGGUCUAUCUGAUUCACCAUUUAAUACUUUGUAUUUUUUUUUUGAAAAUAUUUAAAUUGUUAUAUUUAAUACAAGUUAGGCAGUUGUAAAAUGAAGUAGUGAAAUCACUAGUUUACAGCUUUUACAAAAGUAGGCAUUUUUUUGAAUUUUAUAAAUUCGAGCAGCCUUUUUUUGAAUUUUAUAGAUCCGAGCCGGAUUUUCACAAAAAUAUUCUUAUUUCUUUUUCUCUCUCCUCUCUUUUUUUUUCUCUCGUUCUUUUUUUUUCUUUCUCUCCAAGGGCGUCGGAAGCGGAAGCGGAAGCGGAAGCGGAGGCGGAGAAGGCCCACCUCACCUUUGUCCCGUGCGCCUUGCCCUCGCCCACGCACCCUCCCUCCCUCCGCCUUCCUCGCCUCUGACUUCGCCGAAUUUACUAAAUUGAUAUUCUAUAUUUGAGUUUGACACGUGGCAAGCAUAUAGAAAGGCACGUGUCAGUCUUACACCAAGGGUUCUACUAAAGUUUGACACGUGGCAAGCAUAUAGAAAGUCACGUGUCAGUUUUACACCAAGGGUUCUACUUUAGUAUACAGUAAAUAGAUUCGUACAUAGUAAAUAGAUUUAAUUUGUAUAUAUUAUUAAUAUACCUUUAUAGUGAUUUAAUUUGAAGGGUGCGUUUGGUUCGAGUUAUCCUCGCAGGAUUACAGGCAAUCCUGCCAGGAUAACUGUGUUUGGUUAAUCUGUUAUGUAAUCUAGUCGUUAAUGUAGCAUUGCAAAUCGAGCAGGAUUACAUCGAAAAUAUUAACGGGAGGGGGGUCGUGUAUCUUGUAUUACUGAAACCCGUUAAUACUACAUAUUAUGUAAAAUGACAAUUUUACCCUCCAACAACCCCAAAUCUAAUUAACAGCAUUAUUUUCAUCUCUCUCGCCUUCCCCCCUCUCUCUCGCACGCCGCUUUCUCUCGCUCUCUCUCUCUCGCACGUCUCUCUCUUUCUCUAUCUCUAUCUCUAUCUCUAUCUCUUUCUCUCUCUCGCACGAACACCUAUCUUCUUCUAUUGAGUCGUCCUCCCAGGUAAUCAUCACGAUCUCCUUCCCUCCAUUCGACAUUUCCGCAAAAAAUAAUAUUCAAAUGACCACAACAAGGGCAAUUUUGGAAAAAACUAUACUUUUAUAUUAGGAUUGCUAAAUUUCAUAAACUGAACCAAACGUAUUAAUGGUAUAAACACUGUAAUCUAGUAUUACAUUACUGCAUUAAACCAAAUGCGCUAAUGUAGCAUCAAUAGUAAUCUCAUGCCGAAAUCCAAAAUACCUGGAUAUGUCGAGAUACUUUGUAAUAUUACAUAAAUCGAACCAAACGGGCCCGAAUAGUAAUCUAUAUUUGAGUUUGACAUGUGGCAAGCAUAUAGAAAGCCACGUGUCAGUUUUACACCAAGGGUUCUACUUUAGUAUAUAGUAAAUAGAAUAGAUAUAGUAAAUAGAUUUGAAUAGUUAUCUAUAUUUGAGUUUGACACGUGGCAAGUAUAUAGAAAGCCACGAUCAGUUUUACACCAAUAGUUCUACUUUAGUAUAUAGUAAAUAGAUUAGUACAUAGUAAAUAGAUUUAAUUUGUAUAUAUUAUUAAUAUACCUUAAUAGUGAUUUAAUUUGAAUAGUGAUUUAAUUUGAUUUAAUAGUAUUUUCUAACCUAUUUACUAAAUUGUUAUUCUAUAUUUGAGUUUGACAUGCGGCAAGUACAUUGAAAGUCACGUAUCAGUUUUACACCAAGGGUUCUACUUUAGUAUAUAGUAAAUAGAUAUAAAAGCAUUCGCUGCAUUACACUUUGGAUCUUCAAAUUACACUGCACAGAGUAUUGUGGUUUUUAAAUUUCAACUUGUCAUAAUUUUCGGUUCUAACUUUAUACAUCGUUGUCCUUGUAAUCAAAUGUCAUAGUUCAGUUUAAUUGAUUAAAUAUUGAUGCAUUACUACCAUUUAGGGGUGGAACUGGGUCCAGGCCUGAACGAGGGCCGGCCCGAUAGACCAUAUAUGGGCCGUGUUUUGAGUUUCAAAAUUAUAAAUUUGGAUCUAGGCAAGGCUUAAAAAUUUAGACCGGAAAAAGUUUUGGGCCUAUUUAGAUAUGUCAAAGCCCGAUACAUUAGUUAUUAAAAUGAGAUAUUUAGUUUAUAUAUAUAUAUAUAUAUAUAUAUAUAUAAAAUAUAAUAUAUAAUAUAUUUGUCCAUACAAGAAUAAAUGAUAUAAUAUAUUAUAUUGUAAAUAUAACUACAUAUUUAGUUCUCAUAUGAGAAUAUAUUAUAAAUAGUAUUAUUAUAUACAAUUAUACAUAUCUACAAGUAAACAUAUAUAGUACGUAUUAUUAUAUAUAGUUAUAUACAUAUAAUUUAAUAUUAUAUAUAAUAUAUAGUACUUAUUUAUAUGUAAUACAAUAAAACUAUAUGCGUACUAUGUGACAAAUAUAUAAAGUGGGCCUUCACAAAGCUCGAUAAGUAUUAGGCAUUAGGCUUGGGCUUAGGCCGAGCGCCUUAAUUUUUUUAAAAGAAAAUAAAUAGAAGACCGACUCAAAGCCCAAUAUCUCGUUUGGGCACAGUAUGACCUGACCCAAGCCCUGCCCAGUUCCACUCCUACUAGUAUAUUAAAAUAAUACGACAUUCUAAUCACUGCUUCAUUAUCCGCCUAGGCCCUAGGGGCAUCGACUUUUAGUUAAUUAAAUUAAGUCGUGAGAUUAGAUUGCAACAAUUUAAGAACUUUUAAGUCAAAAAUUAUAGUAAAUUAAAAUUUUGAGAAUCGAAAUAUCACAUGCAUUAUAGAUUUGGGACUUAAAAGUGUUAUAUAUUUUACGCGAGUUACAUGCAGGUAACUUCAUUUAAUAUAAAUAAUGCUAGUAUAGUAAACCGUACGAUGCGACGGAUAAAUAAUUAAAAAAAAAAUAAAAAACGAUGACAAAGGAAGAGAAAAAGGCAAUGAAAGAAACGACGUUAAAGGGUGAGAUUCAUCUUGCCGAUAAAGAAAACUAAAGGAAGAUGAAGAAGAACAGUUCGGCUCAAUAUAGAGGUGUGACCUAAUUCGGUUCAAGUCCAAAAAAAAAGAUUGACCUGGCUCAAUUCAAAUAAAGAAAGAGAGAACUCAAGUUCAUUUCAAGCAAAGAAAGAGAAAAAUAUAUAGAAGACUUGAGCCGGUUCAGAAGAGUCCACACUUAACAAUAACUAAUUCGGUUCAAACAAAAAAAGAGAAUAAUCAAGUCCGAUGCAAACAAAAAAAAGAGGAAAAUAUGUGGAGAAUUUGAGCUGGUUCUAAUUAGAGCCCACACUCAACAAUGGAGAACAUGUUGCCAUGUGGUUCUAAUUAGAGUCCACACUCAAUAAUGAAGGACAUGUUGCCAUGUGGCAAAUUUAAGAAGAAUAAUCUAUAGGUAUAGGUAUAUAGAUGUUUUAAUUUUUGUGCCAUGAAAGGGAAUUAAUAGCUUAAAUCAAAUGAAUCAAAUAUUAGGUAUGAAAUACAAAACUUCAAUUAUUAGAUGAUGAUCUUAAAAUAGACAAUUAAUAAUCUUUGCAAGUUUCAUUCAUUUCUCCAUAGACAAAAUAAAAUAAAAUAAAAUCAAUCAUACAACAUUUUUAUCUAGAGCUACAUCCCGGAUAAGAGCACACCGACAAUUGCAUCAGUAGUGCAGGUACAAUAAAUGCUUGGAGAAAAACGUGCAAUAGCCCCUUGAACUUUUAGUAAUUUCACACAUAGAAUCUCUGAAUUUUAAUUUUAAUGAUCAAAAUCUGUAAUUUUAUCAAAUAAUUUAAUAAACCAAUCUUCCCAAUCGGAUUUACAAGCUACAUGGGCAUUUUUUAUGGUGAUUCUUACACAUAGCCUUGUAAGAAUUCAAAACACGGAUAAAAGCUUUUUUUUUUUUUCAAUUUUUAAUAAUUAAGCAGGAGAAUUUAAGAAUGGGGUGAUCCUGUUUUCAAUUUUGUUGCUUUUUUAAUUUCUUCGAAUAGAAGAAGUAAUUUUCUUCAUAGUCUUAAGACUAUAGGAUUAUGUGUGACAGUGUAAGAUAUAUGUCCAAAACCAUUAUGCAAUUAGCACUCUUAAUUAAGGAGAAAAAAUUAUUAAACUAUUUGAUACAAUUCGGAAAGUAUAUAGAUGAAGAGAAAGGCAUAAACGGCUCCAACCCGAAUACACCUUCUUCUUUUUUUUUUUUUUCGAUACAUAGAAACUGAAAAAUUUGCGCUUUCUAUGCGUCCAAAAUUGUACGAACACACCGUAAAAGACGAAAACAAAAGAAUAAAAAGUUCACAACGAUAAUUUCAAACACUGCAAAAAAUAAAAUCAUUCAAUUUUACAAAGAGUAUCCAAUCACCAUACAAAGAAAAAUUACGAACCAUCAAAUAAAACCUUCAAUCAAAACUAACAUACAAUGAAUAUUCACAACAAAGGGAAUGAGAUAGAUUAGAUGUUACUGAUCUCAAACCUAGCAAAAUUCCACACAGUUUGAAUCCUCUUUCACACACCUUUUUUUUUUUAUUAUUAUUAUUUUUUUUUUAAGAGAUAGAUACAUAUUUUAGAGAUAGAUAUCAUACUACAUGCUUUGUUUAUUUCAUUUAAAAAUAAACUUAGCUAUAAAUGUGAAUUAACUAGAUUCGAACUUGAGACCUUGNUUGCGCUAGGGACGGUCGUUUUUUUUUUUUUCUGUUUUUUCUUAAAUUAAAAGUUUUAGAAGUUGAGGGAGUCUCCGACCCUCCCGGUCCUGCUCAUGCUCGAGCCCACGGCGCAGCUCCGGCUCCUCAUCCCCACCCCGAGUUUACAAUUCCCCUCACCAACUCCGCCGCCUCCGAACUCGCACUCCCUGUCCUCGUCGAUCCUCCCGAUCGCCGCCACGCUCCGGCUCCGCUUCGGCCCCUCCGCCGCCGCCGCCGCCGCCGCCGCCCUCUCCGCCUCGGCCCGCCGAGACGCCGCGCGGACGAGCUCGCCGAAAUCCUCGUCCCUGCCGCCGUCGCCGGCCGAUCCGUAGCCGUGGGAACGGCUGCCUCGGCGGCUGCGCGCCGCCACGGCGCUGAGCGUGAUCGCCGACGCCACGACAGCCCCUCCGCCGCCGCGGCCGCCGCCGCCCGCGCACCCCGUCAUGCUACUGACGUAAAAGUCGCGGGCGCGGCCGAGGGCCCUGAUCGGCGCCCUGAUGCACCGGCCCAGGAUCAGCAGCGCGCCUCUCGUCCCCUUGCUCAUCAUCAUCGUCGUCGACAUCGCUCGAGUACGGGAGAAGAAGAAGAAGAAGAAGAAGAAGCAGCUUACAAUAUGCGCGAAUGUGAUUGGUUUUGGAGUUAGAGUUUGAAUUGACUUCGUAUGAAUUUAUAGGCUUCUUCAUGUAAGGACGCGUUCAUUAAUUAAGCGGACCGUUUCGCCGGGGCGGUGACGGAUGGGGCGUGGUGGACCGGGUCCAUUAGUGGAGUUAACGGAAGAGUCAAUUUGGGCUUUCCAAUUAGAGAGUGUAUAAUAAUAUACAAAAUUAAUUACGCCAACAAAUAAAAAAUCAAAAAAAAAUUAAUGUCACCUCAGAUGUGAGCGUAUUUAUACCAAAUGCGCCGACCGUUUUGCCUAUUAGAAAAUUUUCCUCGCUUAUUGACCGAUGAAAACUAUGCGCAAUAAAGCAUCUGGAGCCCACUUAUAUCUACUUUUAUUUAUAGACUAUUGUGCUAGAGAAACACAACAGCCUUUGCUCUCCUAAUUUUCUAGCCGUCAAUCAAUUUUAAUGGGUGGCUAGGAUGAGAAAGAAAAAAGAAAUUUGAGAGAAAUUUAAAAAAAAGAAAAAUUGAGAUAUCCAAUUUCUCCCAAAUUUCUCUUCGCUUUCUCACUCUAAUUAUUCAUCAAAUUUGAUAGAUGACUAGAAAGUUAGGAGCACAAAAACUACUGUACUCCUAAUAACACAGUAGCCAUACUCUCUCUCUCUCUCUAUAUAUAUAGAAUUGAGCUUCUAUACUUUUAAAAGUAUAAGUCAUUGGAAAUAUACGGUGAGAAUGAUAGUGGUCACUUAGCUUGUGUUUGGUUCGGGGUUAAGGGGUGGGAUAACCCCUUAACCCCGGUUUUAUUCCCAAAUAUGAUUUUAGGGGGGUGGGGUUAGCUAAUCCCAUCCCAAAUGGACUAAUCCGGAAUAACCCAUUUUGAGUGGGGUUAACUAACCCCACCUAACCGCACCCAACCCCACUACUCCAACCAAAUAAAACACUAUUUUACUCACUAUCCUUCUUAUCCACCUACUCCAACCAAACACUAUUUUCUUUAAUUCUGGACUAACUCCAAUUCUCAACCAUACACAAAAAUACUCUAACCCCACCUUAACUCUGAACUUAAUCCUAUCUCUGAAAUAACUAGUUUUUUCUUAACUCCGAACCAAACGGUAGCUUAGGUUGAGUGGAUGGUUGGUUGAAUAAUAUGAUCUAACGGGUAGGAAUGGUUAGAAGAAUAGAUCGAACGGUAUAGGAGCUCAAUUAUAUAUAUUAAUAAAUUGAAAGAAAAAUGUAAAUCACGAAAACAUAGAUAUGAUUCGCAAGACUAAGAUAAUAAUUAAAAUUAACUAUCAAAUUACACCGUUUAUAGAAUGACAUAGAAGUUGUUAGUAAAUUUAAUACUUUUAUUUGCGAACAUUUCAAUAGGUCUAUUGUGAUUUAAUAAUUUUCUUUUGUCAUAUUCGGUGAUUUCAUUUUUUUUUAAAAUAAUUAUAAAAAUCUGCCAUAAAAUAUAUUAUCAAGAUAAUAAUGCACUGCACAGUCUACACAAACCAAGGAUGGUGGAAUGCAGAUUUUUGCUACCCUUCUCUUCAACUUUUUGUUGCAGUAAAAUUGUAAAAAAAUGUUCCAGAGCUUUGCUAGAAAGCAAAAAUAUUUUUUGUUAAUUACGAAAUAUUCCACCUAAGGAACUCUAUUGACUCACAGAAGUUGUCAAACUAAUUUUAUUGAUUGAGAUAUGAUAGUAAAUUAUCCAGUUAAGGAUAAUACAAUAGUUAUAUUUAUAUAAAAAAAAGAAAAUGUUUUUAUAUUUUAUGUGAGAUGCAAAAAUGAAAAGAAAAACUGAUUAAUGUGGUAUUACUGUUCUACAGAAAACAGCAGAGUUUAUUUUUUUAAAAAAUAGACGAAAUUAAAAUCAUAAAGCAACUAAGUUUAGAAUUUGAAUCCUCUAAUAUCAAUCAUUAGAUUCUUGAUCAAUUACGCUACAUGCGAUUGGCUAAUGAAAAAUAAUUUUUACCUUGGACUCUCAAAUUAGGAAAAAAAAUUUUAGUGAGGAGCUCCUUGCGAAGUAUCAUAAAGAAGCUCUCAGUUCGUUGCCAGUAUUAGUUUUUCCUCCAUCUAAGAGUUUCUUAGAUUUUUUUUUUUUUUUUUUUUGAGAGAUAGGUAGCACGCUACUCGCUUCGUUUAUUUCAUUUAGAAAUAAACUUAGCUAGAAAUGUGAAUCAACUAGGAUUCAAACUUGAGUCUCGGGUACCAACCACCAAACCCUUUGCAAGUUGCUCUAGGGACGGUUGGUUCCUUAGAUAUGUUUUAAUACAAUUUUUAAAAAAUAUUUGUUAAAUUCGACUGACGAGAAUUAGAACUUUAAAUUUCAGUGAAGAGCUUCCCAACAAUGCCUCUUUGUAAAACCUUCAAUCUAUUAUCAUAUCGCAGAGAUAAAAAUUAAUACAUAACAGCAGAUCAAAGGCUCCUCAACGAUGCGGCAUUAGAAGAAACCUCACUAAUAUUUUUAAAAAAAAUUGAAAUACGACCCAAAGCAGGCGUUAGCGUGUAGUUCUUUAUCUAAAGUUUUUUCCCUCAUACUAAGGGGCAUAUCUCAGCAGUUUCCAGCUCAUAAAUAACCCGUGCAAAAGCCGGGAUCGGAAACUCUUGAUAUAAUUAUAAAUAAAUAAUUAAAUUAUUAGUUAAUUAAUUAAUUACACUACUCUUCUCCCUCGCGCUGUGGAGGCGGUGGGGAGGGAGAGCGAUGCGCGCGCCAUGGCCGAGGCGAAGGAGAUCUCCACCGCGAGCGGCGACGCCCCGUCCAGGUGCGCCGCGCCCCCUUUUUCUAAACUCUUCUUCGUCGUCGAUCUCUUGCUCUUCGACCCCUAGGGUUUCAUGCGCAAUCCGAGCAUUGGAAUUCUUAUUGCGUGCUAGAUGCCUCUUUCCUUGAUGAGGCGAGUGGAGUUUUAAGUGAUCCGUGCUUGUGAAUUGUGUAGAUUAUGAAACUUGGUGUAAAAGUUGGUAAUUUGGUUGCAGCCAAAUGGUCGAUGCUUAGCUUCUUCCAUGACCCCGUUGCGCUAGGGUUCCGUGGUAGUUGGAGCUUUUGUAUUAAUUUCAUCAAUUGCAUGGUAGUUGCCUCUUUCCUUGUGGAUGUGACUGGACUUUUUAACUUUUAAGUGAACCGUACUUGUGAAUCAUGUAAAUUAUUAUGAAACUUGGUGUUCGAGGAGAGUUCUUUGCUGUGGAAUUUGGUAAUUUGGUUGUUACGAAAUGGUAGAUGCUAAUUUCUUUGGCGAUCUUUCCCCUGACCCUGUUGCACGAGGGUUUUGUUUGAGACUGAGAUUUUGUAGUCUUACUGCAGCUGAUUUAUUUCAUCAAUUGCAUGGUAGAUACCUUUUUCCUUGCCGCCUUCAAUUAAUUGCAUUAGGUUUAGAUUGAUAAAAUAAUCGCCUCAGAAGAAAUUUUCUAAGUAACCCAUUCAGCGUCUGAUAAAGUUCACAAGCAAACAGGACUCAGUCCGGAAGACAAACAAUUCCUGUACCAAAGCCGGUCACCAAAUUCUUGAUAGAGUGCAUAGAUCGUUUUUGGUUGUUCACAAGCAAACAGGAUUCAGUCCGGAAGACAAACAAUUCAUGUACCAAAGCCGGUCACCAAAUUCUUGAUAGAGUGCAUAGAUCAUUUUUGGUUGCUAUCAGGGUUGAAGUUGAUAAUGUGAGAAAUAUAUUCAACGAUGCUAUCUUCUGCAUCCUCCAUUAGUUGAUUCAUCUAAUAUUGUUCUGUUCUGUUGUUUUUGAAAUACGCAUUAUCUGGAUGCUAAGGCUACUCUAAUGAUAGUAGUGAUUUUGGGGGAUGCUUUUCUAAUCUCUGUAGUUCUGCAUCUUAUUGAUAGGAUUGAGUUACUUAGCAUGGUGAGAAAGCACUCCAACUUAUUGGGGGAGGCAGUUGUUGAUGAGCAAGAUGAUUCGGACAUCGGAAUGGAUGCUCGAUUCUGGCAUGAAAUGCUAGAUCUAUACUUCAUACGUGGUAGAGUAUCAAAGGGAAAGGAGGAGGACGAUCUCAUAUUUUUUGUUAGAAAUAUGGUAUUGUAUGAUGAAGUGCCUCCAUCUUUUGGUCUGUGUUCUGACAAGGUUUAUUUUGUUCAGAACUUUUGCUAGCUAAUCACAUGAUAUUGUUGCAUCCAGAGCUUGCAUGGAUAUGGAUUCAAUGACAAUAUGGAGUCUGUUUCUCCGUAUUUUGUCCGCAGAUGGGCUCCCAUGGUAAAGAGAACAGGGUUACUCUUUGUUCCUUCCAGUUCUUGUUAAAACAUGUAAAACAUUUAUCCUUUUUUUUGACAUCUUGAAAAUGCAAGUCCUAGAUACCUGUGAAUAAAGCUUAAGUAACUUGUUGUCUAGUCAGUAUAGAUAUAUUGCGCUUUUGGUUGCUAAAAUGCAUAGCAUGCUUAGUAUGGAUGGUCAUAUCAUAUAAUUACAUACAAUUUUGGUGGUGAAACUUACAUCAUUGCACUAGUUGGUGUUACUAUGGUCUUGUGAAGUUAAACUUUUCUAGACUAAUGGGUACCCAUGAUUAAAAAAACUUUUCAUACUAGUGAUUAGUGAACUGCUCUGAACUUACAUAUCUUCUCUUUUUCUCUUUUUGCAAUAAAAAGAAAAAAGGAAACGAGAUGUCAAACAACUCUUAGAAAAUUUAAUUUCAAGUAGUGAGUUGAUAUAUCUUUAAAAGUUCAUUUAGGCCUGCCUUGUUGGCUUCGCUUCCCCUUAAUUGAUUUUGUUUUUUUCUCAAAUUUUAUCUGAUUGGAUGUGUCAGCCAGUGACAAAUUGUCUGCAUCUCUCCACUUACGGUGUUUUUUAUAAACACAAGAAUAAAGAUGGGUUGUAAACUUAUCAACGGUAACAAGAAUAAAGGCGUCCUUCUCUGAUGUGUUCAAUUGCUUAGAAUUGAGAAAUACAUAGGCGCAUAAAUAAAUAAAUUAAUAAAUGAGAGCUUAGCAUUUACCUUUCCUAGAAAACUGUUUUCUCUUGCUUAGUUACUUUCAUGAAGCCAUAUGCGUUAUUGCUAUUGUAGAUACAUUAGUUGUGAUAAAUUUUGAACGAGUAUUAAUGAGCAUUUUUUGAUCUAUUAUUAGUAAUCAGAUUUCUAUGUUUUAUGCAAACAGCUUGAGAAAGUAGUUGGUGAAUAUUCUGGUGAUAUAGACUGGGGAAGUUCUUUUUACUUGAAUUUAAUUGCUCAUACAUCUUUCACCAUCACAGUAGCUAUUUGCAGGUACUUUCUGUCUAGCUCCUUCUAUGUGCUAUCACUUGAUGAUGCAUUUGUCAUCUUUUUUUGGUUGCCAUUAGAUAAUUUUAACUGCUAAAUUGUCAAAAAAACUUCUGCUUACAUACGGAUAGAUUUAUUCUUUGUAAAUAUAUUUUGCAGUAUUCAAGAUCUUCGUAAACAUCAAAAUGGUGAGAAUACAUCAUUAUCUCCUAUAUACAAGGUAUACAAUAGUAGAAUGUAAUUUCGUUGCACUAGUCAGAUAAUGCCUUUAUGCUAUAUAUUUCUUUUUGAGUUGUCUUUGUGAGCUUUGUUGUUGUUCUGAUCCUUGCAUAUAUGUUGUCCUAGCCCGUUCUGUAAAAUAAAUUAGAUGAUAUUUUUCAUUUCGUCAACCAGGAUGCUGUAAAAUAAGUUAGGCUAGUUUAAGUGUUGUUAUUUUCAAAAACACAUACUCUGCAUACGCACAGAUCCUUUGUGAUUAUUUGAUAAGUAAUUAACUCCCAUAGAUAUCCUUUUUUCCGAACAAUGGCGUGCCUUUAAGUCAAAGAAGGCUGGACAUUUCACAAGGAUAGCUCUACUAAAGUAAAAUAGAAUUUAACUUAAAUCCAGAAAAGCUAAUAUGCUUGAUAGUGUAGCACUGCUGACUAUGAUGGCAUUCGAAACUUAAUAAAAUAACGAGACCAGAGCAGAACACCAUAGUUUUGUGAAUCUCUAUUUUCAGAGCAUAAAAUAAUCUGUCCUACAUCAUAUUUUCUUUACAUAUGCAUUGAAACAGGUUGUCAAGACUGUCUAUGCAUCCCCUAGCCGUGUUAAUUUUCACCUGGACGAGAGAAAGGUAAUUUUCUAUUAUUAGCAUUAAAUAUAAGUUUCUGUGCUUCUCAUGUUCAUUUUACGUUCUGUUACAGGCUGCAGAAACACUGCCUGCCUACCCAAACAUUUGUUUUGCUAUUGAUGACUUUGACGAUACUUUUGAUGCUGUGGUAAGAUGAUUUAUUGUUGGACAGUUAUUUUGUGAAGUUCAUGAUAAUAUUUGCCUCUUUUUUCCCCACUCUCUCUAUUCAGUUAUUUGAAAGCCUGAACUAACAUUAUGUACUGUUAGAUAUGUUUACUUCCUUCGUUUAUUUGGCUCCAUUUCCUAUGUAUUAAGUACUUGCCUAUUCUUCUCACUGUUGGCUAGCAUGCACUGUAAUCCAGUUCGAUGCCACAAGGCUUCUUCUUCUUCUUGAAAUAAAAAAAGAGUUUUUUUUUUUUUUUUUCCGUCCUGGGNUGGGUUGGUGAGGGUGUGGUGGAGGGAAGGGGUGUUGGGGGUUGGUUGCCAAACAAACCCGUAGUGCAUGGACUGAAAGCAAUCCUUUAUCACUCCACAUACUCCAUUCUAUAGAAGUUGUGUGAAAUCUUUAUCUUUUUAUUUUUUGAAAAAACAACUACUACCAAAUAAGUCUUUAGUUAUUGCUAUUGGACAAACAACGCUUUUCUGUCAUUUGUUCUUUUGUGCACAAAAUUUCAGUGUUCUUUUCAAGAUAUGUAACAAAUCCAUGCUACUCUUUCUAUUAUUCUCUGCUCUCCUUUUCAGGAUUAUUUUGUUCUGGUAGUUAACUUCAUUCUACUUUUUUAUUGCAAGUAUAGUAUGUACGUUAACUCAUAGUCUUAGCACAUCAAAUUUGUCGUUUGAAUUGAGCAGGUUUUGACAGAAGUAGAUCAUUGCUAUUGUGUAAUUCUUAACGCAAAUGGUGGGGCAGCGUUUCCAGCAGAUAAUGAUCCACAGGACAACAAUUUAAGCAGGCCUUCUGGGAAUGACAAUGAUGGCAAGAGAGUCAAGCCGUCUAAGGUCUGAGUUUCUCCCUCAAUUAGAUUUAUUGCUGGAGAAUGUUCAUUAUUUUCAAUGAUGAAAAAAAAAACAUUAUUGCUUUAAGUUGUUAAGUCAGUUUCAGUCUUUAUCGGGCAACUAUUGGUGUUUACAGCCUUAUGAACACUUUUAAAAUAUUUUAUACUUUAUGGCCUCAUUUGAUGCCUUUUCAUUUUUUUAAUCAAAUUCUAAGCAAUGUACGCUGUACGGAUGCGUCACGAUGUGGAUAUGACCAAACAACAAGACUAGGAAAACAAAGAUAGUGAUUUGAUAAAAAAUAUAUCCUUUGGUAAGAGAGUAAAUUUUGUUCUGGAUCCAAUUUUGAACCUUGUUUAAAUGUUUAGGCUAAAGCAAUGAAAGAACAUCAUAUGCAACCAUGUCGUUGAGGGAACUUGUCCAUUCAGCCCAAGUAUAGUUGUCUCUCUUUAGCUAAACCUUGUGUAAGUCUUCAUUUUAUUUUUGAUAUGUCAUCAAUAUAUAUCCUAGAGUUAGCCUAUAUAAGUCUUCGUUUAAUUUUUGAAUAGAAAGGAUUCCUGGAAGAAAAUGUUGGCACCUAACUAUGCAGCAUGUAAUUGAGUAUCCUCUAGUGCAAACUUAGCUUUUUUGAGUAUCCAUUUGUUCUUAGCCAAUUAUGUAUAAGUUGUCAGAAUUCUCAGUGUAAUUUUUUUUUUUUUUGAAACUCUGACCAGGAGUCAGAGGGAGCACCUAAAGAGGAAGGAAUGGAAAAUCUAUCCUUUUUGACCAUUUUGGCAUGACGAAUCCAAGUAGAGUCGAAAUAAAGCAUAAUUUAAGUGCUAGUUGAUGAUCGAGUGUUCAUUGAUCCAUGUUUUAAAUCGCACAAUAGUUCAUUUAGACUUUUCCAGUCGUUGAAAAUCACUAGAUAUAUACACAUGUAUGUGUCGUUUGCUGCUAUGUUCUUUUCCUUUACUAGGUAUUGUUUGGUCAAUUGUUGCUCCCCGGUGUUUCUUUUUCUGAAAUUUGUUGUGCAGCUAGAAGAAAAUUAUCAUUUGAUUAGAGAUUAUAUGCUAGUAUUUGCAUAUAGGGGUUAUUCUUGACAUGAAUAUUGUUUAUGACUGCAGCUUACCCUCUUCUCAGGAUUUGUCAGCUAUCAAAUGGUCCGAGAAGCAUAUGAUGGUAUGCAUUCUACGUGCUUCUACUCCCUUCUAGAUUCCCUUUUAUAUCAUAUAUAAGUGCCUGUAAGCUCCAGAGUUCAAUGUUUCAGUUUCAGUUUGAUUUCGGCUGGGACCUGUGAAUUUGGAUUAUGGUAUUUUUGGCUCUUUUUAGGUCUGAAUUGCAGUUUGGUCUGAAAGUUCUUAAAUGAAAAUCGAGAAAUUCUAGAUCCAAUAAGAAAGAUAUCAGUGAAAUAAACUGGUUUCAGACAACAAGAAAAGUUUCGACGUAAUUUGUUGUUGUCCAACAACUUCUCCGUUCUUAUUUUGGUCGUCCCCACGUUGCUUUUUUUUUCCUCUCUCUUUUUUUUUUUUUUUUUUUUUUUUUUUUUUUUUUUUUUUUUUUUGUUUUCUUCUAUGGCAGCUGGGAAGUCUAGAUUUGGUAGCCUUCUAUCACUUGGCCAUUCUCACGAAAAGACCGACAGGCUGUACAUGAGGGGUCCCGGAGGACGUGGUGAAGUUGAAGUAGCCGUUUCGGGAAUAGCAGGUCCAUGAAUUUCUUUAAUAGAUUAAACAUGAAUAUCUUAUUACAACUAUUAUUAUUUUCUUAAAAAAUGAAUGAUACUGUUUUAAGUGACUUAAUGACCAACAGUGGUUUUGAUGAGUAUUGCGCAAAUGUGUGCAUUAAACUUGUAAGUUUCGAUAAAAUAUUAGAUGGUUUGGUCAAGUUUCUCUGUGGUUCAUGGAAACAAUUGUUGCCCUGUAGACUUGAAUUCUGAUAAUGAUAUAUUAUUUUAUUGUACUUAUAGUAAUGUUUAGACUUGAUAACUGAUAUGACUAUUUUGCUGUGCUGUAGAUCAAAGCCGUGAAAGCACCGGUCCCAAGUCAUUACAUCAAUUAUCUAAGAAAGGCUUAGGGACUGGGCUAGGAAGCAUUGUUCAUAAAGCGGCUUCAGCUGCUUCUGAGUUGGCCAAGCAUGCUUAUGCUGCAACUUCUUCUGGCAGGAAAUUUGACGAAGAGCUUCUGCCCCUCAAGUGUUGCUUGAUGUCCAUUUCUCUUCCGUGGGAGACCAUCGCACAUGACCUUCUAUUCAAGGUAAGUGUUUUGUCAGAAUUUUGGGAGACCAUCGCACAUGACCUUCUAUUCAAGGUAAGUGUUUUGUCAGAAUUAUGGUUGAAACCUCUAUGCUUAUAAUAAGGACCAACUUGCUUGAUCUGAAAUUGUUAUUCAUGCAACUCGAUGCACCAUUGGCCCAGCUUUUAAAACAGUUUCUCUACUCGAGAAGUAGAAGUAUUAUAAAAAUGUCUAGAAAGUAGAAAGCAAGUCUUGCACAGUACAUUAUAUGAUGGAACAUCAAAUUUGAAACUGCUGAAAACUUGCAAACCAAAAUUCCAUUUGUUUUAGCCUCUAAAAGAUAAAAUAAGCUAAGAAUAGUAAGAAAUGUUUAAUACAUCUCCUAAUUUUUUGAAUAGACGAUAGUGUAUGUAAAAUUUGAUGUACACUUGUAUUGAUUGUUACAGUCCAGCCCUCCACUGUCUCUAUGAUCAUCGGUAGGAACCAAGACGCCAUCAAAUGGCUAAUCUGGACAUGCUUUACAUCAAGUGCACUGCGCAAGUUAUGUAUAUCGACAAGUUCAAUUCCUUUUACAGUUAGCUUCAUUUAUUUAAUUGAUUGAAACUUGAAAGAGCUCUGUCCCAUUUUGAAUUUUGAAGUUGUAGCUACCUGCAUAGUGAGUUUCUCUGAUGUCUUGAAAAUACCUGGCCAACACUAAGAAAAGCGGAGAAGGUUUUCGAUACAGGAGAAAAUGGUUUGACUCGAGGCCCCGAGGGUCUCUAAAAUUGGUUUGAUUCUCAAAUUGAGCCUGUAUAUAUUCAUAAUAAGUACAAAUCUUUUAUGAAAUUGUUUAAGUUUCAUGACUGAGAUAUCUUUUAUCUGUAUAUUUUUGUUGGCUCUUUCUUCAUGGGGUGGUGAGUUGCGUCGGAGGUCCUCUACCUCUGCAUUGCAGGAGAUUUUAACUUUUCAUUUGUUAUUACAAUCAUGUCCUCGACCUCUAUUAUUUGUUUUAACCAUGUAGUUAUCUUUUGAAAUUCUUGUUAAAUGUCUGAGCUUAAUCCUUUGUCUUAAUUGCUUCCGCUGUUCGCCAGCUCCUUUGGUCUGGCGAAUAUCGAAAAUCGUUUUCUUCGGGCAUUUUAUAUAAAUAAGAGAAAUAAGUUUGAGGGUUAGAGUGCUUUCUUUUGUGCUUUUAUUUUGUUUUCAAAUCCGAAAUAUUUGAAUUAGUGAGCGGCACCAGGUCACUAGGCCAGGCAAGUUGUUAUAAAUUAGGGAUAACUUCAAACACCCACCCCCGGGUUUCGUACUUUCUCAUUUUCGUACCAUGUGGUUUAAAGUGUAUCAAUUUGCACUCCCCCCUCCCGUUGUUUCGUUUUUCUCUUUUUAUUAUCAAUUUUAUUAUUAUUUUUUCUUAAAUCAGUGACAAAAUUAAAAUUAAAGGGUACUAAAGUAAAUAUUCGAUAAAUCUAGAUAGACAUCUGAAAUUUUUUGUAUAUAAUUUAAUAAAAUAUUAAGAAAAAAGCUAUCGAAAAGAUAAAAACAAAACUACAUGAGGGCAAAUUGAUACACUUUAAAUCACAAAGUACUAAGUGAGAAAGUGCGAAACCCCAUGGGGGUUUUUGAAGUUUUUUCUAUAAAUUAUAAAGUAAUAAGAGACUAAACUACUGGGAUCUUACAAUCGAAAUUUCUUUUGAAAUGUACGGGACAGGAUUUGGUUAUAGGAGUUGGGAAGUUUUUUCUAAAAAUAUUUCAGAAAAUAAAUUUUGGCUGAAAAUUUAUUCUUUUCUUAGAAAAAUGGCUAAUUUGUAUAAAAAAUUUACUUAUUUUGGGCUUUUGCAAAAUCGGGCCAAUUUUUUCAUUUUUGCAGAUUCGGUCCGCUUUUUCAGCAAACUGACCAAAAUACCAUUAUACCUUUUUCUCUCUCCUCUUUUUUUUUCUCUCGUUCUUUUUUUCUUUCUCUUCCCAGAGAGCGGCCUCGCCCGCACACCUCCGUACCUUCAUUGUCUCCGACCCUGCCCGCACCGCUACGUUUUUUUUUUUUUCCUCUCCGACUCUCCUCCAUCGUUUUCGACGACGACGCAUCUCUCGCCCUCCCCCGUCAUUCUUGUCCUCUCCCUCUCCUUCCUUCUCUGCCGCCUCCGACAACGACGCAUUUUCGUCGGCGCCGACAAUAUGCCGGCGCAUCCUUACCCCCACCUACACAUCCCUGCACUUUCCUUGCCUCCGAUCCUGCCGAGGCCGCGUCGCGACACUUUUUUUUUUUCCUCUUCGACUCUCCUCCACUGUCUUCGACGACGACGCUUCUCUUGCCCUUCUCCGCCCUUCUCGUCCUCUCCCUCUCCCUCCUCUUUUGCCGCCUCCGACGACGAUGCAUCUUCGCCGGCGCCGGCGCCGGCACCGACACCGUGGAGGUCACUGCGCCGCUGCAGCCUUGGAGCGGGGGUUCUUAGCGGCAUCGUCGCUAGCGCCGUGGAGAGGGGUGACCAAAAAAAAUAUAAAAAAAGCAAGAAAAAAAAUAAAGAUAAAAAAGUAUAGAAAAAGAAGAAUGAAGAUGAAAUUAUAUCGUUAAUUGCAAAAAAAAUUUAUAAGUUGCAAUACUUAAGAUGUAAAAUACAGCUUUAAGAUAAAAAUUACACUCUUUAAACGAAAAUUACACUCUUUGGGAGAUAUUUACACUGUUUCUCCUCUUAUUACACUCUUUCUGAUGUAAACUGUACCCACUAAGAUAAAAAUUACACUCUUUAAACGAAAGUUGCACUGUUUUCUCCUCUUGUUGCACCAUUUCUCCUUUUGUUAUACUAUUUUUUUAUCUUAAACUGCACUCAUUUAAGAGAUAUUUAUACUUUUUUUUUCUCUUGUUGUACUGUUUUUUCUCUUGUUGCACUAUUUCUCCUCUUGUUACAUUGUUUCUCCUCUUAAAGGGUGCAGUUUAAGAUAAAAACAGUGUAACAAGAGGAGAAAUAGUGCAACAAGAGAAGAAACAGUGCAACAAGAGGAGAAACAGUAUAAAUAUCUUUUAAAGGGGUGCAGUUUAAGAUAAAAAAUAGUGUAACAAAAGGAGAAAUAAUGCAACAAGAGGAGAAACAGUGCAAUUUUCGUUUAAAGAGUGUAACUUUUAUUUUAAUGGAUGUAGUUUACAUCUGAAAGAGUGCAAUAAGAAGAGAAACAAUGUAAAUAUCUCCCAAAAAGUGUAAUUUUUGUUUAAAAAGUGUAAUUUUCAUCUUAAAGCUGCAGUUUAUAUUUUAAGUAAUACAACUUAUAAUUUUUUUUUUUAGUUAACGAUACAAUUUCAUCUCCAUCAUUCUUUUUCUAUAAUUAUUUAUCUUUAUUUUUUUUUUCUUAUUUCUUUUAUAAAUUUUUUAGUCACCCAUCUCUGCCAACGGCCACGGCGCCGGCGACGAUGCCGCUAAGGACCCCCCGCUCCGAAGCUGCAACGUCGCAGUGACCUCCACGGUAUCGGCGCCGGCGCCGAGAUGCAUCGUCGUCGGAGGCGGCAGAGGAGGAGGGAGAGGGAGAGGACGAGAAGGGCGGAGGAGGGCAAGAGAGGCGUCGUCGUCGGAAACGGUGGAGGAGAGUCGGAGAGGAAAAAAAAAAAAAAGUCGCGGUGCGGCAUUGAUAGGAUCGGAGACGAGGAAGGUGCGGGGGUGUGCGGGCGAGGUUAAGGAUGCGCCGGAUAAGCCGCCGCCUCCUCCGCCUUCGCCGUUCUCUGGGAAGAGAAAGAAAAAAAGAACAAGAUAAAAAAAGAGGAGAGAGAAAAAGAUAUAAGGGUAUUUUGGUCAGUUUGCUGAAAAAGCGGAUCGAAUCUGCAAAAAUAAAAAAAAUGGCCCGGUUUUGCAAAAGCCCAAAAUAAGUAGAUUUUUUUAUGCAAAUUGGUCUAGACAAUUAGUUUUUUCUAAAGAAAAUUUUUUUUUUAAGGUUUAUGGAAAAAGUUGUCUUUUCUUUUUUAAAAAUAAAUUUAUCUAAAAAAAUAUAUAUAAAAAAUUAUUUUUUUACGGUUUUUCUGAAGAACCAAACACUCCUGCUAGUGAAUUUGUAGCGAUCAAUCGUGUCGAUGAGCCAUGCGUAAUGAUGAGAAAAAUGAAGGACAAAAUUUAACCACCAAAAAAAGAAGAAAAAAAGAAAAAAAAGNACGGGUGUCCACAAUCCACAUCCUCGGGCUCAGCUGCGGCGCUCAAAAUCAAACUCAAAACUCGCACCACAUCCCGCUCAUCUUCUUCUUCUUCCUCCUCCUCCUCCUCCUCCUCCUCCUCCAUUGCCCUCGUCCAUGGAGAACAUCUCCGUCGCCAUCCGCUUCCGCCCUCCGAUCCCCUCCUCCUCCUCCUCCGAUCUCCCAUGGACGGUCGACUCCAACCGCAUCACCCUCCUCGCCUUCCCCGUCCCCAACCUCUCCUUCACCUUCGGUAACAUCCUCUCUCCCCCCCUCUCCCCUCUCCCUCCUACCCUCCUAACUCCCCCGCCCCUCUCUCUUUCUCUCUCUCAGAUCACGUCUUCGAUCGCACCUCCACCAACGCCACCAUCUACGGCCUCCUCGUCCGCUCCCUCAUCCGCUCCGCCCUCGACGGAUUCAACGGUCUGUAUCAAAUCUCUCCUCCCUCCCCCGAUCUCCUCCAUCGUCGACUUGACUCGAUUCCGUCGCUCUCCCCGCAGGAACCGCCUUCGCCUACGGCCAAACCAGCAGCGGCAAGACCUUCACCAUGUACGGAUCCGAAGACGACCCCGGGAUCGUCCCCUUGGCCGUUCAAGAUGUCUUCCGCACCGCUCGGAUGGUAAUCGGUUCCAAUCAAGUUGGGAUCUUUUUGGGGCUUUUCUCCAAUUUGGGUUUGAUUCUUGAAAAGUAAAAAAAAUAAAAAUUGAUCUGCGAUUUUGUGAGCAGAGUGCGGAUCGAGAGUUCUUGAUUAGGGUUUCGUACAUGGAGAUCUACAAUGAGGAGAUCAACGAUCUGCUGACGCUUGGGAGCCAGAAGCUGCCGAUCCAUGAGAGCUUGGAGGUGAGAUCUGCGAUUAAUAGUAAAAGGUUUUGAUUUUGCUUUACUCAUCAAACUUUAAUUUGUUACAACUUUAAUCCUCAAACUAUUAGGCAGCUUGCUAUUACGUGCCGUCAUUACAUUCUAUAAACUAAUGGAAGUUUGUCACCAGACGUAGAACCAAAGCUUUUAAAGAUUUGGUUCCUAUUUGCUAGUAAAAAAUCUAAACUUUUGAAGUUCUGGUAGCUAUUUUGAAAUGCACUAUAGUUCACAAUAGUUCUGAUAAGGUAAAGUGCAUUUUAAGCUUUUACAACAUGAAGUGGUAAUGAUGAUUGCUAUCGUGUAACUGUACCUUCUUUGUGAUUAUAGCGUGGGGUUUUUGUGGCUGGACUACGAGAGGAGAUUGUGAGUAGUGCCGAGCAAGUGCUCGAGCUACUCAAACUUGGGGAAGGUUUGACUCAUCAAUCAUCUUUGGCUAUAAUAAUAACUUAUUCAUGGUUCUUUUUCGUUAAAAGUGGAGUUCACGAACUGUCUUUUGCAGCAAAUAGGCAUUUUGGGGAGACAAAUAUGAAUGCACGGAGCAGCAGAUCGCAUACCAUAUUUAGGAUGGUAUGAUGUUCUAAAUUAUUGUUCACCUUUUUAUUUCCUCUUUUAAUCAAGAAUUAUGUAUGUUUCUUCCUAUUUUCAGUUGGCAUCACUGAAGAGAAUAGGGUGUCUUCUUUUUGAUCUUAGGUCAUUGAAAGCAGUGCAAAGGAUGUGAAUUCAUUUGGUGAUGUUACUAGCGCAGAUGCUAUCCGUGUAUCUGUACUGGUUUGUAUAACUUCUUUUUCUUGAGAAACAAUUUUACAGCCAAAACAGAAGAAGUUUCUUUUGUGACUGUGUUUGGCUCUGUGCUGGGUAGAACUUGGUGGACUUAGCUGGGUCAGAGCGGAUUGCUAAGACUGGUGCUGGAGGAGUACGCUUGAAGGAGGGGAAGUACAUAAACAAGAGCUUGAUGGUUCUUGGUAAUGUAAUUAAUAAACUGAGUGACAAUGGAAAGCAAAGGUAUUUUAGUUUAUCAAGUAACUCGAUACUUAAACAUUUCUUCUGCUAAUUUCCAAACUGAUCUUUUCCUUUCAUAUAACUAAGAACCUAUCAUCAUUUAUUUGUGUGAAUUUUCUAAGUAACUCAAGUAUUUGGCUACAUCUUCUUUCAUUUACGCAAUCUUUUUUACUAUACAGUUUGCAAAGUUCUUUGUGAGUGCAAGUGUGACAAUUCCAUAACUUCUUAUGGUGGAGCACUAACUGUUGCUAUAUUUUUUGUCGCAGUGAACAUGUAUGAUGGUGUAAUAGGCUUCUUUCUGUUAUCUGAAUUACAUUUCUACAUUUGCAAUGAUGCAGGGGACACAUUCCUUAUCGUGAUAGUAAAUUAACUCGUAUACUUCAACCUGCACUUGGUGGCAAUGCCAAGACUUCGAUAAUCUGUACAGUUGCACCGGAGGAGGUAGGAUUAAGGCUUCUUGGCUAUUUUUGCUACUACUGGGUUAAUAUUUUCAAUGUUUGAUUUUGUAACUGAUAGGUUCACAUUGAGGAAACUAGAGGGACCCUUCACUUUGCAAGCAGAGCAAAACGUGUCACUAACUGUGCUCAAAUUAAUGAGGUUGGUUUUUAAAUCUUUUUGACUUCGUACUAGUAAAUUGCAAUACUAGCAGCAGGAAAAAUGCAUUUCUUAUUAUUAUUAGGCAGAGUAAGUUUGUAUAGUUAUGUUUCUAAUCAAGUUGCCUGGUAGUUGCCAAAAAUGAUCCAUCUGAAGAUGCUCGAGUUUUUAUUGACAUCCUUUCAGUUGUAUAAUUCACUAUAUUUUAGUCCUUAAUUAGACAUUCCUUUCUGCAGUUGAUUUUUGUACGUGCAUCCCUAUUUAUUUUUCAUCUAAUUGCUGUUGAUCAUGAACAGGUUCUAACUGAUGCUGCACUGCUAAAGCGGCAGAAAUUAGAGAUAGAAGAACUUCGAAGAAAACUUCAGGUUAUUCGCUGUCUUUUGUCUAAUCCUGCUUUUGUGAACAAUCAUGUUAAACCUAAUUUCAACUUGUCAGGGAUCUCACUCAGGAGUGCUGGAACAAGUGGUAUUAAAACAAAGGAAUGACAUGCACAAGGUGUGUAGUACUAUAUUUUCUAUAACAUCUGCUAUGCUGUUGUUAUACCUGACUCUUGACAGAAUGUUCUUUUCUAUGGUAGAUCUAUUUAGUUUUACUUCUUGUUCUUUAUGCUGAUUUCAGUCUGAACUUGAGCGUGAAAGGCUCAUUGUGGAACUUGAGGAAGAAAGAAAAGCUCGUGAGUCAUUAGCGCAUUGCAUUAGGGAACAACAAAAGAGAAUAGACGAUCUUACCAUUCGCACUACAUCUGAUCAUGCUGCUAGAUCUAUUCAGGUAAUCCUUAGAAGACGAUAUAGAAUAGUGUUAAUUAAAAACAAGUAUAGCACUGGAUACUCGUUCUCAAAAGAAAAGGAGAAUACCAACGAAUAUUUUUUACUUCACUGACACAAUAUAGAUAUUUGAAUUCCUUGGUAACUAAUGUGUAGUUGUUGCAGCAGAAGCUUGGUGCAGGGGGUACAUAUGAUGAAGUGAAUAUGCUGCAUCCAGAUGAGUUCAGAACUCCAGAUCUCAAGCAAAUGUCAAAUGUUUUUGUUGCAAGAAGGUCAAACUGUUCAAAGGAUCUCGACUCUAGUCCCAUUCCUGAAAAUUUUGCGAACAUAGCUGAUGAAGACUUGUGGAUGCGUCUGAACAAAGGUUGCACGACUGACCUUGAUAUGCUCCAAACUCCCCGUAUCAAACGUCGAUCCUUUUCAUCGAGGGAGAUAUCUCUGGUGAGUUUAAUUUUCCUUCUGCUCAAGCUGCUUUGCUUCAUGUACAAGCAUAAGCUCACUAUCAUAUACAGUAUAUUUCCUUUAUAGCUUGCGUAUUUUAUCCUUCAUUUUUACUAUGUCAUUGUUAUCUAUAAUAAAAGACAAUCCAGGCUUCAUUUUUUUCCUAGACAAUAGAUAAAUAAAUCCUGAUACAUUUUGGUUCGAAUAUUAGGCUUCAAAUUGUCAUUUUUAACAGUAAUGUGCCAGAUAAUUAUGCCACUUUAUCUGCAAGCUGUUUUUGAUGAAAGUCCUGGUUCUGAAGCUUCGGCCUUGCAUGAUGGCCAGUUUCUUGAAAUCAAAGAUAUGAUGCUUUAUUCUAUGAUGGCCACUUUCAUGGACCAUGUUUCCCGUACAGAAAUAAUGCAUGUAAAUUGGGAUUAUUUCUGUCUUCUCUCACUAACAAUCAAUUAUUUUAUUCUUGGUUUACAGGAUCAACCUUUUCAAGAAGAGGCCAUUGAUAGGAAAUGCGAAAGGUUGGAAAUUCAAUGCAGCUUGGAGAGGCAACAGCUCGAGACCUCAGAAGAACAACGCAUGAUUCUGGAAUGCGAAUGCAACCAACUGAGAGAGGAAAAAGCUUCUCUACUUCAAACUCUCUCGAUUUCCAAACAAGACAUAGAUAUACUUAGAGCCGAAAAGGAGGAGCUUGUUAAGGAGCUCAACCUCGAGAAGCAGAUGAUGAAGGGUCUCAAAGAAGAGAUCCAGCUAUUCAGCUUGGCAUUCUCUCAGAGGGAAGGAUUGCUCACUUCUCUCUAUACCAAAUCGAAGGCCAUUGUGGAAAACCUCAAAUCCUUUCAAGUCACAACACCUGAGCUAUAUGAUUGAUAAGAAGGAAUAGCUUCUCGUGAGUUUCCGUCAUGUUUUGUUUGUAUGCUGACAGAUUGAUCAUCAUGUGUCCUUGAGAGUUAACAUUGACUCUGUACAUUAUUUAAUCACAUGUUCAUUUUAAAGUUUACCACUAUUCCCGCGGAAGUUAUCAUCAAUCUUCCUUAAUCAAACCUUCUGUCCGUCCUCGUACAUUUACUGUAGAAGUUAUUGUCAAGUUAUUAUCUUGUGAUCUUGCUAGGCUUUCAAGUUGUUGAGCCUACCUAACAAAUGCUAUUUGUUUGCAUUAAUCAUUUAAUCCUUGUUCCGCUACUUAAGAGCUUUUCUCUUUUUUUUUUUUUUUUUUUUUUUUUUUUUUUUUUUUUUUAACCCUUUUGGCUAGUGAUAACAGUUACAAUUCCUUCACAAGGCUCUAAGGGGGGUUGAGGGAAUGGCUCAUCCAAGAGACUCUUGGAUGUUAGUGUUUAUUUUUUUUGUUUUGUUCUGGUUCUUUUAAAAACUUAUGUUGGAACUUCCUCCACUAAAAGCCAAAGUUGUGAAUUAAAGUAUGGGCCCUCAGUGUAUGAGCACAUUAUACUAAAGAAUCAAUUCAAUUGAGGGUGCAAACAGAUAGGAGGUAACCAUUUUUGUUCUGGUGGUGUGUAUCCACUCUCCACUUGAGAGGGAGACUAAAAAGUGGAGAGGUGAAGAGAACUACUCUUUUUUUGCUUUGUUUUUCUGGACCAAAUAGAAAUAAAUUGUCCCCUGCAGGAGUGGUAUGCAGCUGGGGUUCAGAGGUAGCAGAGCAGUAGGGGUACAGUAUUCAAUCCAUUUUCAACAACUACAUAAUGCUAUUUCUCCACCAGAAAUUAAUGUCAAAAGUUCAAAUCUACCAGAAGCUUCUUAUAUGGGAUUAAUUUGAGAGGCUCUCAGUGUAGGGGGAUGCUGCUUCUAGCCUUCUACAUACAGUAGGCCCAUCUAAACUCUCAGUUCAUUUUUAAUUUUUAUACCCAAUUAGUCUUACAAUGUUGCAGGAUGGAGGACCAUAUGGAGGAAGCAAAAGUACUCAAAUUCAUGUUUCCAAAUUCUAAUCCAUGUACUCAACCAACUUUUAUAUAGUGCAGUUAUUAAAUUGAAAAGCUUCGUUUUAGUUUGUGUUAAUGUUAUACAUGAAGAAAGAUUAAAAAAAAAAAGAAGAAAGUUCUCAAUUGUAGGUCAUCUUGAAAGAGUUUUUAGAGCUUGAUUUCUUUUGAUCGACGCAUUUCAAUUUUUGUUUGAUUUGAAUUAGAUUUUUACUCGAUUAAACUAAAGAUUGAAACUAAAAAUUUUUAUUAAAGAUGUGAAAUUAUAUGGAGUAACUAAUUGAUUUAAUAAAAUCUUGAAAAAUGUAAUUUCAAAUUAUAGGAGUUCCCGGUUGAACAUUUAUCCAGCAAUAAAUCAGCUGAGUCUUGUCAUAGUCUCUAUUCUUCCACAGUGAUGCACACAUGGAUUCCUCCACUAGAGGACAAACUUGUAGGGUGCAUUGGAUACUCUGAAAAAAUAAAAAUAAAAAUUAUUAAAAAAGAAAAGAAAAUCCCCCCUGGCCAAAAUCACUGCAGGGAGGGAGAGGAAACCAACCCCUUCACCCUCCCCUCAAUCUCAACAACAGCUUUAAUAUAUACAAUGUAUAUUAUGUGACUCAUUAGACAAAACAAAAGCAGAAGAGGCCAAAAUGUUCUUUUUUUCUCCUCCCUUUUUUUUUUUUUUCUUUUUCUAAAAAGCAUUUCAGCUGCAAUAAAGUUGUCAAAGAAUGGUUGGUGGCCAUCUUGUUCUCCCAGGACAGAACAGGAAUGGCCAAUGUGCUUGUCCCACUUCCAUCAUAAAAUCCAGGAUACAAUUCAACCUGUGAAGGGGUUUCACCUGAUGAUUUGAUGUAACUUGGUGUUUACUGCAUCAAAAGGACUCAUGGACAAAAAUUCCAAUGAAAGAAAGAAAGAAAAAAAAAAAAGUACCCUUAAGUCUCGGACUCUUUCAAAUUCCUUCGGAAUGUAGUUAAUGAGUAAGCUUUUGGUUCAAAGUAUAUUUUUUGUAAAUGUUUAGAUUGGGUUCGUUAUUAACAUUAUGUGAAAUCGUCGUCAGCCUAAUCGUUUUGAAAAUCUAAAUCACUCAAACAAAAAGAAAAAGAAAAAGAAGGCUAAUUGACUUUAUUUUGAGUUACAUUUUAAUGCACUCACAGCACUACUCCAAAAUAUAUUUUAUGCUGACAAUAAAGAUUCUCCUCCAUGUCAAUAUGUUUGUCCCCUUAUUAACAAUUGCUUUGUUUCUCCAACCUCUAAGUUGUGACUUUGCACCAUUUUGUAUGUAUGUGCUUAUUUAAUUCUCCCACCCUCCUCUAUCCCUCUCAUCCAUUUUAAACCUCCCUCAACCUCACCCCUUCUCCCCCUCCCCUCCCCCCCNAACUCUCUCUCUCUCUCUCAUGGCCUCUUCAUCUCCGCCGUCGUCGGGCCGAGGAAGGCGACUCUCCGAGCUACUAGAGGAGCAGCAAGAGCCCUUCUUCUUAGACAUCUAUCUCAUAGAGAAUGGCUACUCAACCAAGCUCCUUGAGGCUCAAUCAACAACUAUAUGUUGGCCUAGCAUUAGUAGCACAACCAACAAGCUUCAGAGGCUAACAAGCAAUGGCUUCAAGAAGAGAAGAGGCAGCAGUUGGCUUGUGAGGACCAUCCUCUCCAAGAUCCUCCAUGCAAAGGCUGUUAAACGGGCACUGAAUUGGGACUAUAAACCUCCUGAGAUCGGAAGAAAAAGUGUUUCUGACUGUCUGUUCAAGAGUAAAAGGCAGAUCGCCCACGCUCGGCUCUCGUGUUCUGAUCGCGUCGACGCAGACGAAUUCGACGGCAAGGAGGUUAGAUGGGAGAGCAUUGAGAUGGAGGACUCAAACUCAAAGCAGCUCAGCCCUGUGUCUGUUUUUGAGUUGCAUUCUUAUGAGAGCUCCCCUCUCCAUGAUGGCCACUGUGAGUUAUAUAUCAUCCUAUCUUCUUUUUUUUCUUUUCCCCUUUUUUGGGAAAAAAAAUAUAAAAGAAAAUAAUUUUCUCUUUGUUGUUUGAAUGUAUACAGAAAAAGAAAAAAUAACUGUAUUUUUUUUUCCAAUAAUGUUCACAUGCAUGAUUUUAUUUAUUUUUCUUAGUGGUACGUACUUCAGGUAAAGAGGAAACGAUGCCAAACAAGGCUCUGGACAUCUUUAAAGAGCUUCUUGAGGCAGCAUACACUCCUGCAUUGAACCAGUUUGCUGAAUCCAAGGAGCUAGAAAACUCAAAAGUGGUUGUGGAGGAUGUACAUGUAACAGUUGAGGGUUCUGAUCAUGAGUGUUUGGGCCCUGGGGGGAUUGAAGAGUACUUCAAAAAGGAAGAGCUUGAGCUGGCCAUGAUAAGACACCUGAUACAGUGUGAGGUGUCACAGUGGGACAUGGAGUGGAGGGAUUUUCUAAAGGCCCAGGAGAGGGAGAGCAUUGGGAUUGAGAUUGAAGGUGCCAUAUUUGAGGAGAUGAGGGGGGAAGCAGUGUUUGACAUUCUUGGCUUAUUACAAUGUAAACUAGAAAGAUGUUAACUUUUGGUUAAUUGUAGCUAGCUAAUAUAAAGUUUCAUAUCUUUAAUUAGUAUACUGUCACAAUUAAUCAAUUCCUUCUCUUAUUUUAUAUAUAUAUAUAUAUAUACAUAUAUAGAAUUAUAAUACUAUACUAUUUGAUUGUACCAAGCGCUCGGUGCUAUUAAGUUAAUUUUCGUCCGUUGGAUGAAAGGAUGCAUGGUUAGUAUGAUAGUGAUCUCCUAGGGUUGAGUGGGUGGUUGGUUGAAUGGUAUAAUCUUACGAAUGGAAAUGAUUAAAUGAUAGAUCUAACGACAAAAAAUCCAAUAGUAACAAAAGCUUAAUAUUAUCGAUAGUAUAGUAACUGAAUUCUCUCUCUCUCUCUCUCUCUCUCUAUAGAAAAAAAUAGCAUGCUAUCUGUUUUAUUUAUUUUUAAAAAUAAAUUUAGUUGAAAGUGCAAAACCAUUAUUAGGCUUCAGGCAAUCGUGUACCAACCAAGUGGACUUCUCUUUUUAGUUUUUGGUAUGAAAUUGGUGCUGUCAGGACUAUUUUAGUUUUUUUUUUUUAAUACUAUUUACAUAUUUGAAAAGUUUUAAUCUUGAUUAAAAUUAUAAUCCGUUUGCACUAUCCAUAGCAAAAACGAUGUUCUUUCAUAUAGCUUAAAAAGCUUUUGAAGACGAAUUAAUGCUUGUUGCUCAUUAACGAAAAUUUUAUAACCGGCCAAAACAAAGAUCUUCCAGAUUUGUGGGUCAAGAUGUCUUAUAUAAGAUCAAUUUUCUAUAACCCCGUGUGUAUGUUUUCCUACGCACGGUGUUUAUCCGGCUGCUAGUUCUUAGCAUAAUUAAUCAGCGACGUUCGAUAUAGAUGGUGUAGAUUAAUUCUGCUAAAAUUCAAUGAUGAGAUUGUAAAUUAAUCUCGCGCGGUAGCGAAUCCUACACACAUUGUUGUACUCAUUAAUUCGAACCACAUUAUUAGUUUUCCAUAUUUCUCUAAGAUUCUGCAUGGGUUUAAAGUCACAACUAACACUGUAGCAAUAUGAGUUGCAUGUUGAUGCUUCUAUUUAAUGCAAUGUUUGAGAGUGAGAAUAUAAACUGUACGUGCAUUAACUCCACACGCUCCAACCCAAACUCCACUGCGUGAUUCGUACACAGCUCAAAUAAUUAAUCUACCCGGUUCAACAAGGCCUACAUAAUUCAAAAUAUAUAGCUUAUGUGGUUCAAAUCUCGCAGUUCAAUAGCAAUUGUAUGAUUGCACGAUAUUGGCUAGUUUUCCUAUACCAUGUGUGUACGUAGGACUAUUUGUAUUGAACGAUCCUGAUUCAUCUUAUCGCUUAUAAGCGGAAAUGAAUCGUCUCAUGCACAGAAAAUUCAAAUGUAUACCACUUAAAACCUACAGUUUGAGAAAUUCAUAGCAUUUCCAUUUUUCUCCAAAAAAAAAUUAAAAAAACGUGAAACUUUUAUAUAUAAACACAGUGAUUCAUGGCCAUUUGUCCAUAUAUAUAUAUAGAGAGAGAGAGAGAGAGAGAGAGUUGAGCUGGAAUGCUAUUGAUAGCAAAUGGGCUCCGUUGUUAUCCAUUUAUUUUUGAUGAUAGGGCCUUCAAUCGAUGAUCAACACUGUUGAGUAUGAUCUAUACCAUUUGAAGUAUCUGAAAAUCAAAUUUUAAAUCUUUUCGACAUCAUUGACCUAAAUUUUUUCAACAUCAUUGACCUAAUGAUCAAAAUGUUUCAAAAUUUGUAAUUUUAAUGGUAGAUAUAAGGUAUUUGCUCCUUUAACAGUGUAAAGCUAUUCAAAUUAAUUGAAUUUUGGUUAAAAUUUUUUUAAAACUAUUUAGAAAAAGAUCUAUACUCUCGAUCUUGUUUACAAAAUUUCUAUCGUCACUUUUUAAAAAAUAUUUAUUUUUAGUCAUUCAUUUUAAAAGAUUUGUCCAAUGUGCUUC